rnacentral:lncRNA from 1 species
UCUUUUUUUUUUUUUUUUUUAUCAUUCUGAGCCCCAACGCACAGUGAUUGGAUGCAGUGCAGAGAAAGCAGACGAUGGCUGCUAGGAGAUGCGGAUCAUGAUUCACGCAUGAUGAUCGAGCCCAAAAGCUUGAGGAAAAGAGGGGGAGCUCGCAGCCACUUCUGGAACCCCGUGGCCAGACUGAACUCGACACGCAAGGCCCCGGCAGCUUUCAGUACUUGUCCAUCAAAGAGGAUUAUGCGCCACGCACCAAUAAUGCCGGAGCGAUCAAGAGCGCUAUCAGGAAUUUCAUAAUCAGAUCACGCGCGAGCUUAGCAAGUUACUAGUACGCGGCCGUGGAAAGCCAAGAAGCCUAAAGCUUGGUUCGUUUAAACAAAAAUUAAACAAGCCUAAAGCUGAUUAGAGUUUGGAUAAGCAAUCGGUGCGUGCGGGUUCAACCGAACAGAGAGCAAAACGGACCGAGCCACCCAUCCAAUCGCGCGAACCCAUCAUCCGGCUGCGAUGCGAUGCAACCCAUACCCAUCCUGGGUUCAUGUAAUAUCAUCGGAUCACCCUCGAUCUGGUUGGAGAGCCGGCCGGCAAAAGUGCCCGGCGAGAGGGAUCGCUAACCCGAGUGGCUCCUGCACUAACAGCCGCUUCCACAUCAUCUCGUCUCGUCUCACAUAUCAUAUAUCAAAUCAUAUCAUCGCGCGCCUAACUCAGUACGGGCGUGGGAUGCGCACGCGUGCACACAAUGGCCUUUUUGCUCCGAUCCCGCGCCAGCCCGCCGUCAGAUCAGCCCGUCGUCAUCUUCGUCUUCAUCUUCUUGUGUUGCCUGCCGCUGGGGAAGAGGAAAAAGGUUGGUCGCGCAGCGCGUGCUGUGUAUAUCACGCUUGCCUGCAGCAGUCUUCACUGUUCAGGGUAUUCAAUGGCGGGUGAGCUUGAUACAUCUCAUGUGAAGUUAGACCUGCAGACGAACAGGUUACAGGUAUCUGUCGUUUCCACGCGCCAUUAGGGCCUAGGGCGUACCGCCACCGAUUUCGUUCUUCUUGUAAAGGCUGUUAGGAAAUGCGACGAUCAUCUGUGUACUGUUACAGGUGCCUUUAAUUUUGUACCCUUUCAGUGCCUUUCGUCAGCGUCUCACCGCUGGUGCAGGGCCGAGAUGGGUCGUCCUCACCAGUGGGAGGGCCUUUUUCAAACCAUCAUGAAGGGGUUGCAUCCGGUUCUGUACUUUUCAUUUAAGUUUAGGGGGUGUUCUAAAAUUCCUAUCACAUCAAAUGUUUAGGUACUAAUUAGGAGUAUUAAAUAUAGAUUAAUUACAAAACCAAUUGCACAGAUGGAGAUUAAUUUGCGAGACGAAUCUAUUAAGCCUAAUUAGUUCAUGAUUUGACAAUGUGAUGCUACAGUAAACAUGUGCUAAUCAUGGAUUAAUUAGACUUAAUAGAUUCGUCUCGUGAAUUAACUUCCAUAUGUGUAAUUAGUUUUAUAAUUAGCUCAUGUUUAUUCCUAAUUAGCCUCCGAAUAUUCGAUGUGACAUGAAUUUUAGUCUGAACUAGAGAUCUAAACACCCACUAAGUGCCUUACUGGAGAAUUGUGCAUUUAAGCUAGCUCUCAUUCUUUCACAGUUAGACACUGAAAACAUAUCCUGUGACGAAACUUGCAAACCUACUGGGUGACCUGCGUUUCAAAAUCUUACUCGUGAUCUUCAUAUUGCAGUCAUGAGUCAUGUACCGGCGCAACAUUUUUAAAGUAGUACUCACCCCGUUCUAAAAAUGUAGGUCGUUUUGAAUUUUCUAGGUAUAUAGAUGUUACUAUGCACAACGUUUUUAAAGUAGUACUCACUCCGUUCUAAAAAUGUAGGUCGUUUUGAAUUUUCUAGGCAGAUAGAUGUUACUAUGCAUCUCAAUAUAGAGUUAUGUCUAAAUACAUAGUAAAAUCUAUAAGCUCGUUUGGACUGCUGCCUGCGUGCGCCCCGCUAAAGUUUUGGUCGUUGACCGAAUGGGAGCUAUGUAUUUGGAUGACGACCAAUGUUUGGCGCGCCCACGCCAGAAGACACCUGCCAGUUCAUUUUCUACGCCAAUUACGGAUGAAGUGCACGCAGCAGGAUCUGUUGGUGUUUAAACCCCACAACCUAUCGAAGGGGUGCCCGAGGUAGUGUUUUCGUUAGUGGGCUCGCCGAGAUCAGGAACUCGAAAAUAAACGCAAACACACAAUUUAGACAGGUUCGGACCACUGAAUAGCAUAAUACUCUACGUCUUGUGUGUUGGUUGGAUUGAAUUGCUCUGGAGUCUCUGCCUCACCUUAUAUUGCCGGGGGUAGAGUUACAGGUCGAUUGGUUAGAAGAAUAAUAGUCGAAUUCGACUAGAGGAGUUCUACUCGUAUUAUUACGAGUACUUUUCCUGAUCCUCGACUAGUUCCUGUCUUUCCACGUAGACUACGCAGUUCUGCGUCAUAGUCUCUAUGUUAGAUGUGUCUCGGUGUCCAGUCCUAUAUUUAGGACUAUCCAAACCUUCUGUGGGUUCAUAGAUGUAUGUACAACAGGAUCCUCCGCCAAUAUUUUGGCGAGCCUUCUAUUGGCGCGGCACUAUCCGACGUAAACCAAACAUCCCCUAUGUACAUAGAAAAGUCAAAACGACGUACCGAGAGAGUAUGAGAGUGCUAAAAUUUUGGCAUCCCGAGGGCAAGCAAAAAAACUUGCUAAAAUUUUGGUGGGAUAAAUGAGAGAUAUUGGCAAAAUGGCCAAAACUUUAGCAAGCCAAAAUUUUGACGUACAGUAAACCAAGCAAGCCCUAGAUAUCAAAUAAAGUUGCGCCGGUUGCGCCCUUCUCCAUUUCUCCAUCUGAAGCUGCGUAUGUUCUCUAAAUUCAAACAGCUCUUUUCAUAGGGAAAAGGCUACUGCAAAACAACUUGGUAACCUUAAAGUGCAGAACCACAUCAACAGGGUGCACCUGUCUUGGGAGGAGAAAAAAAAAUCCAAUAAGGUACAAGGCUCUUAUGGUGUGGGCACAAGAUACUGUAAUCCGAGGCAGGAAUAUCUAAUCCAACAAUAUCUCAAUACCAUUACUGGGACAGAUUCCAGGUCCACCCAAAAUGCGAAACCAACGACACUGAGGCAAACACGAAUGAAACCGUGACCACGACGAGCAUAUACGGCUCGUGUCCCGGAGCACUGUGGAGCUGAUGAAGAAAUUAAAGCUUGACAACAAUGCCUCAAUUUGACACCACGCACACACUCGGAUAGUGAGCUAGCGGAUUGCCGAAUUCAGAUCGGAUUCCCUCCUCUCAUAUUCUGCGGCAAAAGUGCUGCCGCCAUGCUUCGCAUCUUGCGUCGCCGUCUUACCAAGAUCACGCCGGAAUCAAUCAUCUCUCUGCUCGCAAGUUUUUGGUUUUUUUAGCAAGAUGUUCGCAAGUUCUUGUGGUUUAGCAUCGACGUGUAGGUGAUGGGUUGGGCCAUUGGACACGUGAUUUAGCCCAAGCCCAUGUUGCGUUUUUCUUAGGCCUAUCAGUCAGGAAGGAAGUCGCCAAUCUAGCUAGAAUGGGCCAAGAAUGGAAUCGACGCCAUCAUUCAUACAUAGCCCACCCGGUGGAAUAUCAAAAUCUGGUCGCCUCGUCUCGCUUUCAACCACGUGAUUGAUUUGGCAGAUCGCGAUUUUUCAGCAAGUCUCCCCCGAUUUCUUGCUUCCACUGGCCGUACCGCCGCCGUAGCAGCUGCCUCCGCCUCCGCGCCCGGCGCGAUGCGGCCGUGACGCCGCCGGGCCCGGGGGGAGCGUGUGGAGCCGCGCGUCGCUCGCCGGCAGCGGCAGGUCUGCCUCAAUCACUCGCCCCUCCCCAUCCCUCUCUGUGAAAAGCUUCCUUUUGCUGCGGGCUAUGGCCAUGCCUGUCCUCUUCGCGUGAGCGCAUGUUGCAUGCCAGGUGUUUGCGGAAAUGCGCGUGUCGCAUUUGAUUUUCUUCUCACGGUUCGGCCACCUCUCUAGCUGAUACGCCAUCUUUUUUGUUUAAGCGAUGCUGUGGUGUGCAUCAGAUAAACUAUUGAGCUCGCCGUUGAAUGCUCAAUAUUAACGCACCACGCGUUUAGUGCCUGUGCGUAGUUUAUUCCGCAGAGCUGCAUAUCACAGCUGCAAAUGCACGCAGGUACCUCUACCUGCUACCAAGUCGUGGCUACCAUUUAAUGGCUAAGCCAUUUUAGAAAGAAGAAGGAAAAAGAUGCAGAGAACCUUAGAAAGCGAAAAGGAGAAAGGAAUUCUUUGAAGGCUCUAGACUUGCAAAGCAACAAAGGAUGUCAACACUUGACAGGACAGCCGGUGGUACACUGUGACGUGAUAUGAGGUGCCAAACCACGAGAUUUCUGUGAUUUUAGUUUUUUUUUCUAAAUCCAGUAGUCCAGCCCCAGCCAUAAAUAGGUUUCUCUAUUUUGAUUUCGCACGCCUCGUCUUUUGUGCCUCUGCUAUUCCUCCUCAGCAGCCCUCUCAGCGGCUCAGCGCAGCUGCGCCUGCUAUGGAUUCCAAAGCCAUGUUAGAUUUCUUCUACCUUCACCAUCCUUUUCCCUUGCAUCAGUGUCUUCCGUUCUCUUCUGUUCCCCUGUGCUGUUUGUUAGCUUCUCGUUGUGCUUAAGUGUUUCUGUAAUCCAUUGUUGAGAAAGCAAGUAGAAAGGGUGCAGGGAAAGGUUCAAUGUAUUUUACCAGGAUUUGUUGUUCACAUAUCUUGUCUGGUUGGGUGUAUGAUUCUCCCUGCCCCCCGUUUUCUCUUGUCUUGAGAGAAUAAUGAUCUUAUGCUUCUUGUGCAGGGAGGCAUUUGUGGCCAGUCAGGCCCCCAUCUACAUGAAUCAGGCUCCUCCACAUGUAUGUAUGCAUGCUCAUGAAUUGGCUUCUUUUGCAGCUAUUCUUACACCUUUUACCUCUGGUUUAUAGCAUUUGAUUGGUUUGAGGUGAGAUUUAGAUCUGGUGAGGAUCAGUGUCUAGUUCUUAAACCUUGGCCGUUGAUUUUUAUAGUGCAAUUUCUUUAUAUGAGUCAUACUUUGCCAUGCCCAAUAAGGCAAUAACCUUUGUUGAAAGUUUAGGUGUUCAGAUCAAUCAUGCUUUUGUGGUUAUCUGAGCUUAAUUGCUGCAAGUCCAUGCACAUAAUACUAUAAUAGUACUGAGUGAGCAAUUUGUUUUUAACAAAAAAAUAAUUUCUUUCAGGCUCAGCCAUGUUCUCCAUUAUCAUGUGUUUGUUUGGCAAUCGAGAGUUGAAAAUUAUAAACUAACACUAGGGCGCACAAGCAAUAUGAAUGAUGCAAUGUGACAAGUGUACAUUUUAUCAGCUGCUGUUAUGCAAGCCAGAACAGUAAAUGCAUGUUGACAUCAAAUUAUCUGAAUGCGUUGAGAGUUAGAAUCUAAAUCUUACUAACAUUUUUUAUAUUUCCUUAGAUAUAUUUCUGUGAUCACGUUAUGCACUCCACAAGAGAGCAUGACAAGUUGUAAUUUCUCUGUGUGCAGAUGUCUAGACCAUCUAUUAUUCUCAAGCUCAUUUUGGGGCUGAUCUGGGGCAUCAUCCACUUGGCAAUCAGCCUUUUUAAUAUAUGGUCUCUUCUGAUUUAUAAUCUAGAAUGCUAUAUUAUUUCGUCUGGGUUGUUGCGGAAGUAUCGGUACCUCCACCUGGAUCGACUGAAGUACUUGGCUAUUGUGGUGGAUAGCAAAGAAGCUAAAAAUACCGUGAAGAUCAGGCAGCUAUUGUGCUGGCUCUCAACUAUGGGUGUGAAGUAUAUAUGUCUCUACGACAUUGAGGGUAAGACAAAUGAGUUCAUCAUUUGAAUUUCUAGGAUAUGUGAUUUCAGUUUGAAGUUCAUCCUUGGUUGCUAAUCUACCUAUAUGAUAAUUUCUUUUGUGUAAAUGAACAUGCUUUAUAAGAACUUAAGUGAUUUUAAGCAGCAAUAUUGGGCUAUUACAAUACUUGAGAGUUGGGACAGUGGUAGAGUGAACAAAACUAACUGCCCUGUUGCUCUUAGGCAUCGUCUUCUGAUGUUUUAAGUUAUAGAUGCAUGUACUCUCUCUCUCUUUUUCUCGAGACCUGUGGGCUCUAUCUAGCACACAUAAGAUUUAUUAUCUUACUAUUAUAUGUUGCAUCAUAGGAGUCCUGAAGAAAUCAUUUGAACCGGCUAUGAAGGGUUCAAGAGAUGGGAAGGCAGGAGAAUAUUUGGUAACUUACAAUAUUAAGCUUCUCUUACUUUGUGCAUAUUCUCUGCUAGUUGGCUUGUUGAUUGUUUUUACUGUUAAUAUGUAUCACUGUUUAUGGCAACAUGCAGGGUAUUAGUGCAAGCAUUUCACACUCUGGCCACAAAGAUUUGGUAAUAGAGUGUGUUUCUGGUUCUGAUGGCAAGGAGGGUAUUGCUAAAGCAGCCAGUUUACUUUGCUCAACUUACUUAAAUGGUGAUACUCAUGGAGAUGGCAAAAAGGAGCCAACAUUUACAGAAGCUGACAUGGCCAGUGCGCUGAAAGCUGUAGGUAUGCUUGGAAAACUUUCCUUGUUUUCAUGUUUCACGCAUGCUCUGCUUGAUGUUACUUAUGUAUCAUUGGUUAGUGAUUACUAUAUUAUCAUAACACAAGGAGCAUCUAAGUUCUGGUUUCAUCUUAGGUUGUGGUGGACCAGAACCUGAUCUUCUUCUCAUGUAUGGUCCUGCUAGAUGUCAUUUAGGCUUUCCUGCAUGGAGAUUACGGUAUACUGAAAUUAUGUAAGUUUUCCACCAACACAUUAAUUAAUAUUUCUGGUUUCUGAUUGAGAAAUUAUGUAGCAUCGAUAGUUUAUUUCGACAACUGAGAGAUCUCUAAAAUUUUCUUUUUGCAGGCAUAUGGGACCACUAAAAUCAAUGAAAUACGGUGCCAUUGUGAAAGCUUUAUAUAACUUUUCGAAGAAAUACCAAAAUUAUGGUAAGCUUGGGUUUUUCAACUUUGAAUUGUUCUGCAGCAAAACCAACCAUGACCAUUACCAUUAUCUGCAAUUUUAUUUUAAUGUAAACAUUUUAGCCUGUGACAUUUAUCCUGACUCUAUGUCACAAAGGCUUCAAAAGGGAGUCGAGCUAGUUUUGACUUGAGUUGCCUCUGUUAUCAUUUUUGCUGAUAGGAUAGGUUACACUAACUUGGUUGCACAUGCAAGUUAUGUUUGGUCUGCUUUGUAACAUGUGCCUAUGUGCUGACAACACUACUCAGUAGUUCCUACAUUUCACCAUUGUGUAUCCAGAUGUUUAAUGUGUUGAUAUGUUACAAAGAAAAUGUACAAACCAGUGUCCCCGAGCAUGCUAGCACAUUUGAUGCCUGAUUUGAAACGAAUUUUUCUCAUCUAGGCUGACUCUAAACCUUUGUGCAUUUCAGGUAAAUGAGAGUUGGUACUGUUGUAACGAAGACCAGUAGCAGUUUAAUCCCUCCACCUUUUUUCUGCUGCUGAGUAUACUACUAAGUUCAUCGCCACACCCUCACUUUGUAUUUCCCUUGUACAAGAUCGGAAGUGUCACUGACAGAAUAUACGGGAUCAGAUCCCUUUGUAAAAGUCGCAUCAACAGUACUGAUUAAUGAACCUGCCCUCGAGCACACGAGCGAAUUUAAAUCGAGAUUGAUAUUGUUUGUUCCUGCCUGUCUGCCCUGGAUCUGUAUGCUGAACUGCCGACACCAUGUACUAGUGUUUUGUGAGAUUUCCAUUUGACUUCUACGACCUGCGAGCUACGAAUUCUACUGAUGGCAAAUUGGCAAUCUCUCACUUUCAUCUAGUCUCAUUGCUCUUGUCGUCCUUCUAUAUUAUCUUUUGUUUUACCCUGUAAUUUCCAUCUGCCAAAGUUCUAAUCUGAUGUUUGCUGAGCCAAAGUUCUAGCAUAACAAUGCAGCAACAGGACCUGGAUUCAUCUGGUGCUUACAUAGCAGUUGACUUCUCUUUGAUUCUAUGGAGAAAAAAAAGGAGAAGAUCAAGGUCCUCUAGCUGGAUCAGCACAGGAAAACAAUCUAAGGAUUAAAUUGACAGUAUACUUUUUUUUACGAAAGUUAAUCUGAUAUACGAUAAUGAAUGAGAAGGGGUUAAGGGUGAAGUCUGACUGAACUGUGAACUCAGCUCAGCUCCAAGGCAAAGCCAUCCUCUCGAAGUCUUCUCAUCACUUGCGCGGUGCCUCCGUCCCCCCGGUCGCAGUCCCCCAUGUCGCCGGCGGCGCAGUGCCCCUACUGCCGCGCGUCGGGGCCGGCGCGGUGCGCGACGACGCAGCCGCCGCUCUCGCGCGCCGUCUCCGAGUGCUCAGCCUGCGCCCGCAUCGUCCUCGAGCGCCACCUCCACACGCACCCCUUCUUCCCCCUCUUCCCCUCCCUCCACCCGCUCCCCCUCGUCACCCCCGACCUCGCCACCGCCGUCGAGCCCGCCCCCGCCCCUUCCCCCUUCCCCGGCGGAGGAGAUGACGAGGACCCCUUCCUACCCGCGGGCUUCGUCUCCGCCUUCUCGGCCUUCUCCCUCGAGCGCCACCCCGUCCUCGCCCGCUCCGCCUCCGCCUUCUCCGGCCAACUCGCCGAGCUCGAGCGCGCGCUCGCCGUCGACUCCGCCGCCGCGUCCUCCAACCUGGACCCCGCCGGCCCCAUGGUCUCCGUCGACAGCCUCCGCGCCUACCUCCAGAUCGUCGACGUCGCCUCCAUACUCAGGCUCGACCGGGACAUAGCCGACCACGCCUUCGAGCUCUUCAAGGAUUGUUCAUCCGCGACCUGCCUCAGGAACCGGAGCGUCGAGGCGCUCGCGACCGCCGCGCUCGUGCAGGCCAUCCGCGAGGCGCAACAGCCCCGGACGCUGCAGGUUUGUUUGUGAUUCACGCUCACCAUCUGUUUGUUCUAAUGCUCUAGUGCAGAUAUGGACAUACAUAGAUGCAUAAGCAUGCUUUCCUCAAGCAAUUAGGAUUGUGUAGGUAAUACUGUUGUUUCUGAAAUGGAAGUUUGCAAUGUCUCAGAUUUGAUUUCUUGGAAAUUGGGUGUUGUGUGAGUCAGUUCAAAUCAUCUAGUAGCUUCAAUUCUGAAAGACAUGCUGCAUCCUAGCAUAUUGAAAUAACCGACCAAAAUCACCAAGCUAAUUUAGUGUUCAGUACUGAGUAUUCAGUAUCCUGUAUCCCCUUUUAGCCAUCAAAUAAAGCAUUUUCUCAAUGCUCUGGUUGAUCAUUAACGUUGAUGAAUGUUCAUUUGCAUUUGCAUUUCUUCUCUAAUCAAACUGAUAGUUGCUACCGCUUGACUUGGUGUCUUGGUCACAUCAUGUGUGACCUGAAAUUGUAGCUAAUGGCCUAAUACAAACUAAUCUAACUUUAACCAUGUUGGGGGUACCUGAAUUCAGCUGAAACGGCAUUAAAUAUACUUCAUCAUUGACAAAUGACUGAACCAAAUGCUAAGUCUACUUUGGAUAGUGUUACACAAACAAUAUUUGUUGACUAGAGCUGAUUCACCUUCUAUUCACUGCAUAGCCAGGAAAUCUCUAUGCUAGCAAUCUUCCGCAGAAAUAGAUUAGAAACACAUCAAAAUACUUGGAAUAUCUGAAACUUGGUGUACCACUUUCAUCUAACACUACUUUUAUCAAUCAGUACUGAUUCAUCUCCUGUUUACUCCGUGACCAGGAAAUCUCUACUGCUAGCAAUCUUCCUCAGAAAGAGAUAGGAAAAUACAUCAAAAUACUCGGAGAAUCUCUAAAACUGAGCCAACCUCUUAACAGCAACUCAAUUGCUGUUCAUAUGCCUCGGUUUUGUAGCUUGCUCCAGCUGAACAAAUCUGCUCAGGUAUCAGAUUUUAGCUGAAAAACUGUUACUUAAGCAUAAUGCCAAAAAUUAGUAUCUUCUUAUAACAUCCACAUGUUGACUCCUCAGGAACUUGCAGCUCAUAUCGGUGAGGUGGUUGUUAAUAAAUGCUUCUGCACACGGCGGAAUCCAAUAAGUAUAUCUGCUGCUGCAAUAUACCUUGCAUGUCAGCUCGAAGACAAGCGCAAAACUCAGGCUGAGAUCUGUAAAGUAACGGGCCUUACAGAGGUUACUCUACGCAAAGUGUACAAAGAACUCUUGGAGAACUGGGAUGAUUUGCUUCCCCCUGACUAUACACCGGCCACGCCACCAGAGAAAGCUUUCCCAAUGACCACCAUUUACUCAGGGCGCUCGUCAAGCGGCAAGGAUCUGUAUCAGGAUAAGAUAUUCGAUAGUAUUAAGCAAAAAGGCCCUGAGCCUGCAGAGCCCGAUCACAUGGUCAUUGUGAAAGAAGAGGAAGACAAGAAAAUCAGUGCUCUUGGUCGACCGCCUGCAAAACUUGAGCCUCAUGAGUUGAGCAAGGCAUUCUGGCCAUCAAAUGCCCCUUUCUCAACAUCUCCAAAAUCUGAUCGUGAAAAGACUGAAACUAGUGUUCGUGGGUUCAACCUUAAUGAGGUAUCAUGUGCAAUGGAUUCUGAUAGAGCAGAUACCACAGUGAAGCCAAAUUUCGGCGAUCGAUCGUUAAAUGAAUCAAAUAUGCUUCCAUCUCCCAAUAGGCAGCCUUUACCAUGGCAGCUUAAGCAGGGGGCGCCUGCAACUGGUCCAUAUUCUAGGCUUCGUGAUCAGCACCUGGGCCUGGACCUUGUAGCUGCUCUAAAGGGGAUUGGAAAAAGGAGUGCUGGGGAGGGUAGUGAUGGCCGGGAUAAGGAAGGGAAGUGAAUAGCUGCAGCUGUUUGUUAAUCGAAAUUGAAACUAGUGGUAUUGUGCAUUGUAAAUAUAGAUGUUUGUUUGUAGUAGAGUUAAUUUCGGCUUCCCUUGCCAUCGUAUAUGUCGGUGAAAUGACGCUCCAGACUUUGUAGCUUCCGUGCUGAAUUUUUUUUACUAAUAUUUCCGAAUUAGUUGUUGCCUGAGCUGACUUAAUUCAGCAUGUUCAGUGCAAUGAAAUGUAAUUCCUUUUCACUUGAGCACUGGUAGGUGAUAUGGGCAGUCUAUACAAGCAAGUGUUUUCUGAACGUAACUGAACAAGCAACUGUGUGUUGCCAGAAAGAGUGGAUCAAGUUUAUACCUGAUCGACACAGUAAUUUGCAUAAAUUUAGUACAUUACCAAUUUCACGAUGAGAAAAUAAUGCUGCAGGAGAUAAAAUUCGUGCUCCCGCUGUUUUGAAUUACAAGGCAUAUUUUGUUUUGUUAGGAUAAUCCUUUGUCCAACCGUAACUCUAAUAAGUAUACCUAUGAUUAUGAUUUUCUAUCACAUAAAUAAAAUAUUAACAGAGUAAUUGCUGGUCAAAACAUUGUCUAAAAAAGCGAAAUAACUAUUGUAAGAACCAGAUGCAUUUUUCCUGAAACUGAAACAGGAAAACCCAGACGUACCCCGCUUUUACACUCAAGCUACAGUGAUAAUAUGAUUUUUUUUUCUGAAACGGUGGUUGUAUGAAUUUAGCAGAGCUGGAGGGGCUCAAGCGCAAAUUUGCCCCUGGAACCGGAUAAUACAGUGCGAUAGCGAAGCAGAGGCCUUCCAAAACCCACGGCAAACGCCUACUACCUCAUCCUCUUCCCUCCUCUGUCGCCAUGGCCGUCUCCACCUCCACUACCUCCCCGCUCCCGCUCCUCUUGCUCCACCGCGGCGCCGCAAACCCGAGCCCCGCGUCUCUAUCCUUCCCCUCCUCUCUCCGCGCGUCGUCCCUCCGCUCCCGCGCCGCCGCCGCUCCGCCCGCAGAGACCCUCUCCGACGACGGCAUCCCCGCGCCACCGGUACGUGACUAUGCUGAUAUAUCGGCAAAUGUUUUCGAGCACGUAUAGUCCCAAACCAGUGGAUUGCUAGGUGGUAGGCAGUCAAUAGAUAUGCGCCAUGGGACGUACAGUAUAUGUCUGCAUUACUCAUUAGUUCAUUCAGUUCGCACCCGUUGGAGCUUGUUUACUCAGUGACUAAAAUUGUUAUGCUCGUGCUUUCAGGAAGGGGAGGGAACUGGAAUUCCGUUGCCAUCGUCGAUUGGGGAUGAUGGAGAGCAGGUACCUUCCCUAACAAUUAAUUUUCCGGAUUAUGAUGUAUAGCUCUAACAUUUUGAGAAGUUGUUUGUAUAAUCAUAGUAAAUGGAAAAGACAGUGUACUCAGAAUUUGGUAAGUGGAGUUAAGAAAUGGUUCAGGCUUAAGUGGACUGAAAGAACUCUCUGACUCAAUGGUCAGAGUGUCAGAAAAUUAACAGACAAUAUGACAGUCAGCACAUUUUUUAAGCUGUUUCACUUAAAAGUGAACUACUUCCUCCUUCCCAAAAAGAAUGCAACUCUCGCUUCCCGAGGAGUCAACAAUUUCAAGUUUACCAAAUUUAUGCAAAAUAGUACUAACAUUUAUGGUACAAAAUAAAUAUCAAUAGAUUAAUCAUGUAAUAUAUUUUCAUACUAAAUCUAUUUGGAGAUGUGAAUGUUAGUACAUUUUUGUAUAAAUUUGGUUAAACUUGAAACUGUUUGACUCCUCAGGAAGUGAGUGUUGCAUUCUUUUUGGGACGGAGGGAGUAUUUCUCAUGUGACUGUGAUUUGGAUGUCAGGAAUGUAUGUUGGUAUAUGUCAUAUCAGCUUAGACAGUUUAGCAUCAUUGAUGCGAGUUAUGAGUAGUUACCUGAUUGAAUAGAUCAUUCAUGAGCAUGUAGCCUGUCCUUCAAAUCAUUCUUGUUGAACUGGGAUGAGGAUAUCUAAUGGUCUAUGACGGUUUAGCUUUUCAAAUUCAACUUAAUUCUCAAAAGCUUGCUGGAUGAAACUUUCAAAGUUUUCUGCCCAUUACUGCUCUGUUCCUCCUUGGAAUUAUUGAGCCUACUCGAAAAAUGAUGGCACUAAGUGUUUGUUGUAAAUAAGAAGAGUUGUCUAAAUGACCAAUUGCUAAUGCUCUAAACAAGUAGAGAUCCAGAACAGUGGCAAAUAGGUUUGUCUCUUGUCAUCUGGUGUUUGAGUUCUUUUAUUCUCUUUGCUCUUUUUAUGUUUUUGCGUUAGUUUGCUUCUGCUGUAAAUUUGUUCUUUUAUUCUUGCUUUGUGAUGCAUGGAUCUAUAUUUAUGUGAACAAUAGAUGAAUAGAUUAUACUUAUUAUCCAAGACACUUUGCAGUUUGCACUUAGUAUUUGAACCCCUCUAAUCAAUUUGUAAAUGGGUGGGUGGGGGGGGGGGGAUUGGAAUUCUCUCCUUGAUGAAGAUAAAGAGAGAAAGAUAUACCACAUUUGUUUUGAUGGGACCAGAUCAUAAGGUGUCGAUUAAAGAUCUAUGCAUGUACUACUAUUGUUACAGUUGUACACAAAUGCAACUUUUCUAAAAAAAAAAGUAUAGUAAAUACACCUAUAUAUAUUAUGUUAUAGGCAUGCAAGUUGCCAUAGGCAUGUGAUUUGUGUAAUAAAUACGGCUGUAUUUUUAUAAACAAACAUAAUAGCAGUGUCUAGCUGUGUGGUUGUGUUAAAAAAAAUCAACAAACUAUGCUAUGCGCUCUUGCUUAUCUCCAUUGGAACCUUUUUUUGGACCCAGAAUUUGACAUAGGUCCAUGCUUCCUGCAGUAAAAUAGAUUCUAUCAAUGUGAAUUGUCAACCUUUUAAAACAUGCAUAAAGCUAGUUACUUUCCUCACAUGGAAAUGGUAUAGAUAGAUUUGUCACUAAAAACUAUGCCCUUAUUAAAUUAGAAAAGAUGGACAAAGGUGUGUUUUGGAUAUCAUGUCUGUCCAAAAUGACUAUUGUGAGUAGUAAAAUAGAACAGAGGUAGUGCUGUUUAAUCUGCCACUGAGGCUACUCCUUAUCAUUAUAUUUUUAUUUUAUCGCUUCAUGUAUCUGCUUGUUAAGCAUGUCCAUGGUGCGUAUUUGUGUGCAGUUGUUGUAUGGAACUGCUGGAAAAGAAAUUGUUAUGAGGCCUUGUGCACAGUUGUCCUCUUUUAGUGAUUCUUUAGAUGUGUCACAAGAGAAAAUAGUGAUAAGAAACAGACACGGAGAGAAACUUUUUGGUGUUUUGCAUGAAGCUGGAUCUAAGGACAUUGUAGUGUUGUGCCAUGGCUUUAGGUCAUCAAAGGAAGGUAGAACUAUAUUGAGUCUCGCUAAUGCAUUGACAUCAGAAAAGAUCAGCAUAUUUCGUUUUGAUUUUUCUGGCAAUGGAGAAAGUGAAGGUACUUUUGAAUAUGGCAACUACUAUAAAGAAGUGGACGAUUUACAUGACGUGAUCCUACAUUUCAAAAAACACAAACGUGACACCUGUGCUAUUGCUGGCCACAGUAAGGGAGGAAAUGUGGUUAUCCUCUAUGCAUCCAUGUAUCAUGAUAUACCUAAAGUGAUUAACUUGUCUGGAAGGUUUAAUCUGGAACGUGGAAUUGGAGAUCGUUUUGGAAAUGAUUACAUGGAAAGGAUUAAUGAGCAUGGUUUCAUUGACGUGGAAGACAAAGCAGGACGAAUCAUCUACCGUGUGACCAAAGAAAGUCUGAUGGACCGUCUUAAGACAGAUAUGCAGAGUGCAUGCACGUCUAUUGACCCAAAAUGCAGGGUGGUGACAGUACAUGGCGCUGAGGACGAUGUUGUGCCAUCGGAGGAUGCCCUAGAGUUUGAUAAGCAUAUAAGUAACCAUGAAUUGCAUGUUAUUGAAGGAGCUGAUCAUAGAUAUGCAUCUCAUCAGCUUGAAUUAGCUGCAAUUGUACUGAAAUUUCUUAAAUCUUGAUGAGGGUAGGUGGAAACAAACGUAGCCACUAUCUUUUUCUUUGGUCCAAUAUACUUGUUCUGCCAAUAUUGUUAGUGGAUUAAUUUUAGUGGAGAACUGUUUUAUUAAACAUUUAUAUUUCAGAAUGUUACCAUAUUUGCCCCCCUUUUAUAAUACACAGGGCAUAUACAUACACUUGCCUUCACAAAUCGAGCUUAACUAACUUGAUAACAUUAAGGUGUCCUGAAUUAUGGCAUUAUUAGUUGACUGCAUUUUGUGGGAAAACAUAAGUAUACGUUCGUCUUACAAGAAGUUAAUGUUUUAUAAGCUUUCAAUUUCCUACUGGAAACAUAUUUAAAUAUUGUAAUAACCUUACCCUAACUCAACUGUGUGUUUCUAUAUGGUAUCUUCACUCUUCAGUUUGCCUGCAGGAGGUGCAUAUAGGACUAACAACAGUUAAUUUGAAUGUUACCUGUUCUCAGUUGGCACCCAAGCAGAAGAUCAGAAUCAAGCUGCGGUCCUACUGGGUUCCUUUGAUAGAGGACUCCUGCAAGAAGAUAAUUGAAGCUGCCAAAACAACCAACGCAAAGACCAUGGGUCCUGUUCCUCUGCCGACCAAGCGGAGAGUAUACUGUGUGCUCAACUCGCCCCACGUGCACAAGGAUUCACGGUUCCAUUUUGAGAUCCGGACGCAUCAGCGGCUGAUUGAUAUCAUGUAUCCAACUGCCCAAACAAUUGACUCAUUGAUGCAGCUCCAGCUCCCUGCCGGUGUCGAUGUUGAGGUUAAGCUAUGAUUCUGUUGGAGCUGAAGUUCUCAGAGUUUGAUGUAAUGUGGUAUUCAUUUUCCGCAGCCUUUCUAGUUGAUCCUUUUGCUGUCUGGGACUGAGAAAUAUAGAGCCUGUAAUAGGAGAGAUGUUGAGAGAUGAAUUAUCUUUCAUUGAAGCAUAUUGAAUGAGUUGGUUUACAUUAAGCGGUAUCGAUGUUCUGGAUCCACUGAAGUUUCUGGUGAUGUAAAUGUACGGUCAGCAUCUGAUAUACUCUGCUUCCCAUCCCUGUAUAAAAUCGAUUGCUUCAUCUGGAUAAGUAAAUUCCUCUGUUCAUGCUGAUUGUACUUAAUCUGGAUGAUUCUACGGACGGGCAAAGCUUUCUAUUUUCUUCUGAAGAAGAGUUUCUUUCUCUCUUUCAGAGUUUACCUGAGUUCAAGCUCAUUAUCUUUAAGUCAAUUCUGUAGGCGAUGUACCUAAGUAAGCUAAGGUAUAUUUCUUGUGAGGCAGCUAGUUCUUUUUGCAAGAAGUUCAAAAGGCAAAUUGCUAAAUAAAAAUCAGAAGUGUUGCGUAAAGAGAAAAAUGAAGUAUAAUAUGCAAUUUGGGUGAACAAAAGCUCGAACUUCCUACUGCAAUUUGGAAUGAGCACUUAGAUUAUAUGAUAACCAGACCCAAAGAAAAACAACCGUUUUUCUGUAGCUCGAACUUUUCAGAACUGCAGUAAAAAAAAAUUAAAACCAUCAUUGAGACUAGGCACAACGAAGCUUCUUCGAUAUUCUAAAGUGAAAUCCAUUUUCAGUUGACUGGGGCUGGGAUGCAGUGCAGCCGAGAUCCAGUACUCUCUGUUUUUUUCUGAAGAAAAGGAACUGAAGAUAUAAAGUUGGUCUUUAGCAGCCCGUAGUACGCAGCCCCCAGCAUCCAUAGUCCAUGUUUCUAGUGCCAUGUAGUCAUCCUCUUUCUACCUCCGAAAACGACCGAAGAGUCCAAGACAUUGCUGAGACUCGAGGUGAGCGUUGGCCGGCGAGGAAAUCCAUAAACUAUCCUUCGGGAGGGCCCAUAUGAUCUUGUCUAAAUGUUUCAGUGCUUUGGCCUUCUUUUUCCUAAUAUUGGCUGCUUGCUCACUAGAGAAGUCAGAUGCUAAAGGUAUCUUUGAUCAGGACACUGAGGCUCUGUUCGCUUCAGCUUAUCAGCUACCGAACAGUAUUUUUCUCUCACAACAAAUCAGCCGUUUCAACUUUUCAAUCGACUUAUAAGUCCAGCCGAACAGCCCCUGAAAAUUGGAAACGCUAUUCGAUCUUCAAGUAGUGCAGAAUAACCCAAUGUCACCAUCAGCUUACUCAUUUCGUAAUAGCACCAUUUUUUUCUGUGGAUCGUUACAUUUUGAAAACCAUAGCACAGUUUUACUACAUGAGUUGGACAACUUGCGCUUCUCAAGUUAAAAAGAAAAAAAACUUCUAUCUUUGCUAUGUGUGACUAUGACGCCGUACUCUCAUUUCCGAUUUUGCGAUUGCAAGGAUGGCACACACCACCACAGCGCGUCCACGUCACACUCGCACCCGCAAGUGCGCACCCUAAUACACGUUACAAGUAAACCACCGAAAGCACUUGCGUCAUUGCGUGUGUGAGCCAUGUUAAUGGUAACGUACUUGGAUUAGAGCUCUAUCCGUUCCAAUAAAAGGAACUUUGAGCUACUCCCUGUCAAAUGGAGUAUCCCUGAUCAGAAACACCACGCAAAAUCACCAUCAUGUACAGAUUAAGGUCGUCCAUGUGCAUCUGUGCUUCGACGGCGAAGCUAGACUUGUAGCCUUUUACUGCACACAAAAGGAAAGGAUAACAUGAUGUUCACACUAUAUGUGCUCUGCUGGAGUGCUGGCUAGGCUGCAUCCUCUGCGAUUUCCAUUGUCUUCUCUAAGCUACUUCACUCACUGUGCGUGUUGUAGUAGCUGCCUAGCUGGUACAACGACAGUAGUAGCUGGUUGGUGGAUCCUACCACCACACAGAUCGUUGCUUUCAGUGGUGUCACUUGUUACGUCGUCCGUGGCAAUCAUCUAGGGCAGGAUCGAUUGUAGCCGGGCCAGCAAUUCGGGGGUCCAGCCGAAUGCUAAGCACGCAGAACAGUGUGUUGAUGUUUCCUGACCGUGUGCUGCAGUGCAGAAUUAUGUAGCCUUGGAUGUCCCAAAGGGCAUGUAGCCAUUCAUAAACAUUUUUUGAGCUAGAAGUAAACAUUUAAGGUUCAUAUAUGUGAUAGGUCCAUUAAUAAUUUGUAGUAUGGUUCAAUUCACACGUGAAGUUCAAUUAGCCUUUCAGUUGCAUUGCAUCACAUCCAUCCAUGUUCGUGUGCGUAUGUCCUUGCAUCAGCACCGGAUGGAUCGAGACCCUGGAACGUGGGCCAAUAUGACCCUGGGACCUCAACCUGUCGAUUCCCUCGGUCAAAAAGUCCACGCUGCAUGCCGUCGGUCCGAUGUGGCGCCAAGAUUAGAGGAAGCUUUGGGGUCGCACCGUCGCAGUGAAGGAACCCGACGACUUUUUCGUCACCUCGUCACUCCAAACGUCACCUGCUCCCUGCUGGACCGGAUCCUCUGCGGCGCUCGUUGGCAGCCUCUGGGUGAAGGGCCGCGUGCGGCGUGCACAAUGGAUCCCGAGCGAUUAGUCUGACCCAGAACCAGAAACGUGCACCUCCCCAGGUCUCUCCUGCAGCUUAACCGCCACUCAUGGUCAAAGGUCUCAAGGCUGAGAGCCUGAGACUCGGUGCCGGGCGACCGUGCAUGUACCUGAAUCUUCCCACGGUGGAUAAUCUUCGCUUUCACAUUUGCUACUCAUUAGUGCACAAGAAUGAUUUUUUUGUUGCACUAUUUCUUUAAACAAAUCCAGCACAAUUAAUUCUAUGAGUUAGGAGUCAUUUUCUUUCCGAUAAUUAGUACUACCUCCCCAGAAUUUAGUUACUUCUACCAUUCAAAUUUUGUCCCAUAAUAUAGUCACUUUUAAGUAAUUCAGUUAUUUAACUUGAGAGGUCUAUAACCUCCAUGCAUGCAAAUUAAUUAUGGUAUGCAUAUGUGCUUGCUAGCUUGCCACCAAUUAAAUAGGAAAGGUAUAAUUAACCUCUUAAUUAGCACAUGAAAACUAAUGAAGGGUAAUAUAGACUUUUAAUCUACAUCCUUAAUUUAUCAGAAAAAUUCUAUAAGUAGCUAUGUUUUGGAACGGAGUGAGUAGUCAACAAAUAGCUACUCCUAUUUUUUUUCAAAAAAUAUAACAAAUUCUAAGAUUUUAAGGAUAAUUUAAAGAGAGAAGAGAAGCACAGCAUGUACCAUCAUUAAAGCAUGAAACAUCGGUUUUGAUCGGCGCAAGUUAUGGGAUUAAUUGGCUAUUUAUCCCGAUUUUUUAUGUAUAUUGUCACCGGAAAUAUUAUCAACUAAUCAAUCCAAGAAUGAUUCGUUAUAGGUUAGAAAUGGGAAAUGAUGGAUGUGAAGCAUGUUAAUUAAUGAAAAGGGGUCUUAAUUUACCCACGAUCCCUUGUAUUUUAGGGACCACAAGAACAAGGUAGCAGAAGACCAGAAGUAGCAUGGUAGCAAAAUGGUGUGGCUAGUACGGUCCUAGCUGGGCGAGUCGCACAUCUCGCCGGGUUUGAUUUUAGUGGUCUCAGAUGAAAAACGCGACAGAGGGGAAAAACGAGGCGCAAAGCGCAGCGACAAUGAUCGAUCUACAGCAUCGACACGACGACACCUCACGGGCGGCCACCCCACUUGCCGGCCCGGGACGCUCGAAUAUGUGACGGCACGGCCGGGGCGCCGCAGCCCUUACCGCCGCGAAACGCCGCGCGCCUCGGGCCAUAUCUCUCUGGCUCUCAGGCGCCCGCGCCCGGGAAGGGAACGAACCGCAGCCACGCGACGGAGGCAGGAGGUUGCGUGCGCCCACCCGAUCCCCUCCACCGGAGAAAACGUCUCGUGCGCGGUGCGCCCCGCGGCCGAAACGUCCUAUCCGCACGCGGGCAAGGGGGCCCGGGGCGUGAGCGUGUGCGUGUCGCCGGGCCACGCGCGCCGCACGGCCCGCCGCCGUGUGUAACGUUACCAACCUCCUCCUUUUCGCUCGGCUAACGCCCCCGGCCCCGGGCGGCGUUGCCUUCUUUUUUUCUGGAUGCUUUCGGGAUUUUUUCGUUGCGGCAGUGCUGCUCCUCCGGGCGAAUUUGAUCGGCAGAUAUUCGUUCGGCAUAUGCUCCGGCUACAUCGACAAAGCCUCCUCAGCUUGUUGCUGCUCGUGCACAGCUGAAGGAUUUCCUCGUUUUCUUGUGCACCUUUUGCAGUUUCUCCGGACAGCAUGCUGGUGGUGCUGCGGCUGUUACGGCUCAGCAUGUUGCGCAACGGUCUCGGCAUGUAGCCACGUACACACAGCGCAGCAGUGACAGGAUUAUGCGGUGAGUCAGCGAGCAGCUCGCGUAGCUUGCCCCGAAAGAAAGAGGGAUUGCAAAAAAUAAAUGUGAGCAGAGAGGGUUUCGUCUCCAGACACCAUUUGGUCACGCACCUGUACCCGAGGCACGCUUCUUCUCUGAAGCUUCGCCUGAUCGCCUCGGCUGCUCUGCCCUCCUCCCUUCUCCGCCGGCAGACACGUAUAUAUAGGAGUGCAAACACUUGACGCCUUGUGUAAGCGCCCACAACCUCCACGCUCCACCACCAACACCAAGAACCUCCUCCUCUGCUUCUUCUGCAUCUCCUCGGCCCUGCGCGCCGCACACAUGGCUGCCUGCGUCGACAAGUGGCACCCCACGCACGCCGGCCACCUCUCCAGAGCCAUCUACCGCUACUUGCCGGACUGCACCACCACCACCACGGACCGCGCGAUGCCCGCGGCCGCCAGCCCCGGCGGCUGCUGCGCCCGCGGCGGCACCGGCGACGACGACGUCUGGGACGAGCUGCGCGCGGAGGCGCAGGCCGACGCGGACGCCGAGCCGAUCCUCCGCAAGUUCUACGCCGACCUCGUCCUGUCGCGCCCGUCGCUGGAGGCCGCCCUCGCCGCGCACCUCUCCGCCAAACUCUGCGUCCCCGGCGCGCUGCCCCAGGACGCGCUCCGCGACCUCCUCGCCGGCGCGCUCGCGUCGCACCCGGAGGCGGGGCGCGCCGCGCGCGCCGACCUCCGCGCCGCGCGCGACCGCGACGCGGCAUGCGACCGGAUGGUGCACUGCUUCCUCUACUACAAGGGCUUCCUCGCCCUCCAGGCGCACCGCGCCGCGCACGCGCUGUGGGCCGACGGCCGCGCCGCGCCGGCGCUCCUCCUCCAGAGCCGCGCCUCCGAGGUGUUCGGCGUCGACAUCCACCCCGGCGCGCGCAUUGGCUGCGGCAUCCUGCUCGACCACGCCACGGGCGUCGUCAUCGGCGAGACGGCCGUCGUCGGCAACGACGUCUCCAUCCUGCACGGCGUCACCCUCGGCGGCACCGGGAAGGAGUCCGGCGACCGGCACCCCAAGGUCGGGGACGGGGUGCUGAUCGGCGCCGGCGCCAGCGUGCUCGGCAAUGUGCACAUUGGAGCCGGGGCCAAGAUCGGAGCGGGCGCGGUCGUGCUCCGCGACGUGCCGGAGGGAACCACGGCCGUCGGGAACCCCGCGAAGGCGAUCGGGAAGAAGGCGGUGCCGCAGCGGCGGCCGGAGGAGCAACCCGGGGUCACCAUGGAGCAGGGGUGGUCGGAUUACGUGAUUUGAGAGGUCCUAGAGGGGUUUGAGUGCAAACAUUUAGUGCAGGAGAGUUUCCCUCCAAAAGAUAUUUGUGGCCGAUGGCCACUGCUGUUCCGCUAUAGUCUACACUAGAGAGAGAGAGAGAGAGAGAGAGAGCUGUGUUGCAUAAGAGGGAGCUCAGUUAGGCAUUGAGCCCUAGUGCAAGACCAUAUUUUUUCUGUUCUUUUUUCCUUUGGUUUGUUGGGCCGGAAUAACAAGAUAUGCAUCUGAUAAUUUAUCGGUUGCUUGUAAAUACACUCCAAGUUCUAUUCCAGCGCUGAAAUAUUCAAUUUCUCGUUCCAGUGUGGUGGGUGGAAACAUACGCUUUCUUUCUACACAGUUCGCUGUACUGUUCAAGUACAGACUCUACUAAGGGGUGUUGGCUUCCUCAAAUAUUUGGAGGCUAGAGGACUAAAUAUAAGUUAAUUAUAAAACUAAUUGCACAGAUGAAGCUAAACGGCAAGACGAAUCUAUUAAGUCUAAUUAAUCCAUUAUUAGCAGUACAUUGUCAAAUCAUGAACUAAUUAGGCUUAAUAAAUUCAUCUCACCAUUUAGCCUCCAUCUACAUAAUGACGUUUAAUACUUCUAAUUAAUAUCUAAACAUUCGAUGUGACAAGUGCUAAAAAUAAGCAGCUGGAAUAAACACCCCUAAGUACAGGUUGGACAUUAACCUCUGUUUUACAGGAGGUCAACCAGCCGAUCGACGAGGUCUUGAAGGGCAAGAUUCUCAGUCCAAGAAUCUCGAAGGGCUGCUUCAAACAAAUCAGAGCAUAAACUAGUACAGCCCCAAGUAGAACUUGACUGGCCAGGAACGAAUUAGCAGUUCCAUCGAGAAUUUGACUGCUUGUCUUUGCGCAGACAAAAAUCACCAGUGGCGUUUUCACAUUUGAGCUGGGGGAACCAAUAAUUGAGGUGAGGAGCUAAGCACUGAGAAUGUGAGAUAGUUGAGAAUCUUUGGUGAAAGAGGUGAGCCUGUCGCAAGUGGACGCACCUGACGGCUAUGGCUACCGGAUGAGCGACGUCGCGGCCCGUAACUUUUAUUCGAAAGGAGGAGUUUGGAAUCGAGAUAUUGUUCGAUGAUUUCAGCGAAGUCAGCUCUGCCUUUGGAUUGAAUGCUGAUUCUCUUCUCUGAAUUCUAAAGGGAUCGAGUGCCUUCCUCAUGCUCACACACAAGGUCGCCGGAAUGGAUAGCAUUUGACGGCCGCCGUAUAGGAAUCUCGGCACUAGACAAGUGCCCUUCGCCAUGAGCCCAUGACGGUAGUUGGGAUGGCAAAACCAAAGAUGGCGGAGCGGAGAAGGGCGCGUACCGCCGCUUAGCGCCUACCUGUUGUCAGUCGUAGAACUCGUAGGAAGAGGAUGAUCAUAUUUGUGGUGCGGGCUUUGUUGUGUCUCCCGGUUGGAUGUAAUGGCCGCCGAAGCAGAUGGGGCGAUGUAUGGACUUUAAAGGCUCUUGGUUCUUAUAUGGGCCCUUAAUUAGUAGUGGGAGAGAAGACACCGACCGGUUGGACUGUAAUUGAUAGGCCAAACGAGAUGGGCUGUUGUAUGGACUGUAAUUGAUGGACUCAGCUGAGAGCAUUUUGUUGUCGUCCUAUGUUACCGCCGGAUGGCACAGCCUAGCCCAAACAAAAGGCCAUUUCACUGUGGGCCUUUGUCACUGCUUCCCUAAGACCCACGUAGGCCCGACAGUAUCCGCCAAACAGUACAAUAUGGGCUUUAAAUGCACAACAAAUAAACACGUCCGCAGCAAGCAGCAGCAGCAAUUUUCUUUCUUGACCCGGUCACUUCUCGUCCGCGAGUGGGUCGCGAGCUCAGCCUAGGCUAUGUUUAGUUACCCCAACUUCCAACUUUAACAGUAUGCAAAAAGAAGAUUCCCCAUCACAUCAAACUUGCGGUACAUGCAUGGAGUACUAAAUGUACACGAAAUUAAAAACUAAUUGCACAGUUUUAUUGUACUUUGCGAGAUGAAUCUUUUAAGCCUAAUUAAUCAAUAUUUGGACAAUAAUUCACAAAUACAAUCGAAACGCUACGGUGUGCUACAGUUCUAGUACAGUAAUUUUGCAUCUCCCAAAUUGGCCAACUAAACAAGGUCCUAGAUCUUAUUCUGUUCUGGGACGAUCAAAGCCCAAGAACCAAGCGAAUUUCGCUUCCUGAACAAUCAAAGCCAAUCCAUUACGUUUUUCGCAUGUUUUAUCCGUGCCACGGUCAACUCAUCCUCCCGCACCCACUCCCAUGGCGGCCUCUACUUCGCCGUUGGCGUGAGGCCAAGCAUGCGCUCCCAAGCCGAGCGCCACCAAACCACCCUGCACACCCUUCGAUCCGUCCGAUCCCUCCCGUCGCGCACGCAACGAAGCCGAGCACGAGCCAGGACACACGGUACCCGCAUCGGGACGUGAGCCAAGGGGCUCGAGUUCAAGAGCUACGGCCCAACGGCGGCGAGUCCGAUCCCGUUCCCCUCCUUCCCACCUAAACGCACACCGCCAACAGUAGAGCUGUUAGCCGCUGCUGCUUGUCGCUGCGGCCUGUCGUUUCGAAUCAUCUACCCCCAGCCCUGGCCGAAUUCUCCGUUGCAUAUUUGCAUACCAGCACCCGGCUGCAAGUUGCGAAACCGAUCUCACAAUCGGUUCGUCUGAUCAGAACAUCGCUACCAGCUUUGAUAUGAUCAUACGAUCGGAGUCGGACCACGCUGAUCCACACCGUCGGUUCAAGCGUCGAGAGUUCCAAUCAAUCGAUCAAGUUGCUUGGACGCGGUGGCGUCUUACGACCGCCCCGCUUCUCCUUGUUGCCUUGCAACCGCACUCACCCGCGUGAAGGGUUGCUGAUGGGUCUAAAGCUCACUCAUGGCUACGUUGCCUGCUCAUUUUCGGCUUGGGUCCAUCGUACGCGUAGCCUCACGUUACGCUUCCCUUUUUCUCCUUUUUCUUUGUGAUGUGACGCUUGAACUUUAUACAAUUUUCAUUUUCUGCUUGCAACACUCGUUGUCACAUCUAUCCGUGUGAAAUCAAUGACUUGACGCCUAAUACAUCGACGUAGCGCACAAGUGAGGUACCUGCGAAUUCAGAUCGGUCUCGAGCUGUUGAGAUAAAGAUCUGCGGAAAUGCAAGCUCUGCGGUUUUGCAUUGGGCUGAGCUUGGAGAGUGGAGACUUGGCGGGCCUGAAGGAGAAGUCAGAGAAGGAGAAGAAGUCAGAGAAGAUGGAGGAGGAUGACUGGGAGUAUAGAUUUCCAUUUGGCACUAACACUACGGGCCGGCUCGAGCACGACACGAAGAAGCCCGACCCGAAAACGGCCCGGCCUGUGAGCCAUCGUGCCAGUGCCAGGCACGGCACGCUAACUGCCUGUUAGUGACGUGCUUGUGCUGACAGUUAGGCACGGCGGCACUACACGGCACGGCACGGCUAAGUAAUCGUGCCAUAUAGUGCCGUGCCAUAUAGUGCCGUGCCAGAUAGUGCCCGUGCCAGUGCCGUGCCGGGUGGCCCGUCUGGCCAACUAUAACUGGGAGGAGAAGCAAACGCUAGCGGCCGCAACCAUCCAGCUAUAUCUGUCAGAUCAGGUCAUGCACUAUGUCAUAGAACUAAAGACACCUAAGCAAAUCUGGGACAAGCUGAAAAUCCAAUUCAUGUCAAAGACUGUGACGACCAAGCAGUAUCUGAAGCAGAAGUUAUAUGGGCUGAAGGUGCUGAGGGGUCGGAUCUUGCAGAGCACAUCAAUGCUUUUAGUCAGAUGGUCACAGACCUGGAGCAACUGGGUGUGACAGUUGAUGAUGAAGAUAAGGCAAUUAUUCUUCUGUGUUCACUUCCAUCAUCUUAUGAGCACGUGAUCAUGACUUUGACGUACGGCAAGGAAAGCAUCAAAGUUGAGGAUAUUAUUGCAGCGUUAUUGGCUCGGGAACAAAGGAGAAAGAACAAUGCAAGGUGAUGCAUUGCUGGUCAAAGGUGAGCAUAGCAGGGAGAAGGUGGAGAAAAAGAAGAAGAAGAAGAAGAAGAAGAAGAAGAAAGUGCAGUGUUAUGAUUGCGGUGAGUUAGGACAUGUGAGGAGGGAUUGUCUAGAAAAUAAUAAAAAGGCAAGUGCUAAUGUUGCAAUUUCUAAGAGUGACUCGGACAACGAUGGUGAUGUUCUCUCAGUAUCAGACAGCAUGCAGUCAACUGAAGCGUGGGUGUUAGAUUCAGCUAGCUCUUUUCAUGCAACGCACAAGAAGGAGCGGUUCACUUCGUACAAGUCUGGUGAUUUUAGCUUAGUCUAUUUGGGUAAUGACACGGAUUACCGUGCUAUUGGAGUAGGCGACAUCAAGAUCAAGACGCACGAUGGAGUUGAGCAGGUGCUUUAGGGUGUUAGGCAUGUGCUGGAGCUGCGUAGGAAUCUAAUUUCGCUUGGAGCUCUACAUGGUGAUGGUAUGUUAUUCCGGGCUAAGCCGGAUGGGAAGAUCAUGAAGAUCACGAAGGGAGACAAGCCUACGAUGAUAGGAGAGAGGACGGCAUCGCAUAUAUACAAGCUGCAAGGGUGCACAGUUGCAGGUGGAGUCAUGGAAGAUAGAGUUGCAGGGAUAGUGGUGUCUUCUGAAGGCGGCGGGUCUGAGGCCAAGUCAGACUCGUCGGGGUGGCUCGCCUUGAGCUACAAAGUCAACAACCCAAGUCCGGUGUACACACGGAGGUUUGUGCAUGAUGGCUUCAAGAUGGUGAAUAUUCGCUAAGAUGGAGUUUGUUAGAUUUGUGUCGAAUAUUAUGUACUAGUUGGUUACGUUUGGACUUGGAGUUGUAUUAGCGGUAGGGUGUAGAGUAUGUGUCGGACUCUUGUAACUGAGGCUCCUCAUAAAUAUGAGAGGAGGACUGCUGUUGUAACUGUGACAACAUAUUGAUAGGCUCGCAGGGGGAGGUGGCGUAUUGCCGGGACCCCGGAGCGACCGGUGUCGGUUGGGGGAGGAGCACCCGUAAUCAUACCCCGUGGAUGUAGGAUUCGGCUGAACCUCGUCAACAAAUAUCGUAUCUCUAGUGUCGUCUGUUAUUUUGCAUGUAUUAUCUCGGUAGGUCAAUUGUUGGUUCGGCGCUAUUAUUCUAACAAAGAGGAUAAUCCCUAGCGCAUUAAUUGAAGAGCGGCACUUAUUUCUCAAAAGCUUUGCGACAGGAGUGCGUACUGCAUACAGCAUCCGUGCGUCGUAUCGUCACCAACAGUCACCGCUCGAUCUAUCGUGAUCCAAGAUCCAAGAAACGUACUACCACUGAGCUCACGCACGCAGGGUUGCAGAAGGCACGUCAAACAGGCCGUGCCAAGGGGCCUUAAAUACAUAGGCGAGCAAGCCUACAAAGCGCGAUCAAUGCGCGGCGGCGGCGUGCGCUCGGACCGACCUGCAUGGUCACAGGUCACAAGCCCCGGGUCGGUCUCCCUGGCCAUUUCCCCCUGUUCUGUUCGCACCCGAGCUCAUCUCGUGACGAGGACGAACGGGGUGUGCAGCUCUGAGCUAGCUUCUUCUGAACCCCCUCUCUGAUCGACGAGCGACUGACGAGAGCGCCAGAGGCCAUGCAUGCAUUCCUCUGCUGGAUAGCUGGCCGGCGCGGCCUCUACUAGCCACCUCCCUUCUUUGACUCCAUGCGCCAUGGCGCGGCAGCAGCGGCGGUCCAUCAUCCAUACUAAAUCCAUGGCUCCGCUAGCUUGUCGUCGUCGCCGGCCGGCCGGCCGGCAGGGGCGCCGCGUUUACGGGCCUCCCACGUGAGCGCUGCCUUGGAUGCAUGCGAUGCACCCCCUCCUGGCUCCUGCGCCUGCGCUCCUAAUUAAUCAGCCUAGGACUUUGCGUUUGUGCUGGGAAUCUCUGUUACGUUGCUGCCGCCCGCGACAUGGCCCUGCCCCGCCUCGGCAGCGCGCGCGCCGCUGCCUCUAAUUUAUUCGCCCCGCGUCAUCGACUUCAGGGUUCGAUCGCUGGUAGCGCUUGGAAGGAUUAGCGCCCAAGAGUCAACUGAUUAGUAUAUAGUGGUUAGGUGAAGAUACUGCACUGAUGAUACCUCACAUGUACUGUACUCACUGUCACUGCUCCAUUGCAUGGCCAUGUAUGAUGAGCUGACAAGUUGUGGAUCGGAGAGGUACGAACUGCUGUCGAUCAAUGCGGCCUGCGCGUGGUAAUAUAUGGCUCGCUGCAUCUGCUUGUGUCGUAGCUGUAGGGAGGACGUGAGCUCUCGGAAUGGGGGCAUGCAACGUAUACAAAAGCUGGUCUGAGCGAAAAGGCCAGGUUGCCUUUCGGGGGACGAGCAGCAAGUAAACAAACCGGAAAAUGGCGCCCCAUAACGACCCAAGCAGGCUGCAUCUACCCCUGCAUGCAGCAUUGCCGCUGCUGGUGGUAAGCUGGCAGCAAGCCAUAGCAUAGCCCAAGUUAUGGCAAGCAUGUUUGUUGGCUUUCUGGAAUUUUUUACUUUCCAAUUCUAUCUAUCCAUGGACUCUUUUUUUUUGUUUAUUAUUGGGUCUUUCUAUAUCAUGCUUGAGUGAUUUGGGGCCUUCCAUCAUCAGGUGAUUUUAGAGAUCAAAUCACCCAAAUCUAUGAUGGGACAAAAUCUGAGUGAUUUGAUGCCUCCUUUCACCCAGGUGACUUGAGCCAUCAAAUCACCCAAAACUUAUGGUGAUCAAAAAGUUGGGUGAACAACAAGAGGUGCUCAUCCGAAUUUCAAUCACCCAAUAGCAACACCAAAACAGACAAGAAUUAUGACAAAGCAAACAGAAAUAAAAGCAAAUGAUGGUGCCAAUGAUGCAGCCCAACACAGGAUAAAAUGAGAAAAACUACAAAAGAAAUGGAUGACUAAAAAUCUCCAAAAGUAAAAGGGAGUAAUUGAAAGAAGAAAAUACGAAAGUAGACAGAACUACAUAAACACAGAAUCUAGACAUUUUGCACAAAGUUUUAGAAAAUAAGGGAAGUAAUUAAGCCCCACAUAUUUAAAAUGAGAAAGACGGCAAAGAGACAAAUUUUCAAAUGUUGAGGGGAGUAAUGAAACCUCUCAAAUGCAAAAUAACAAAAAUUUCAAAAGAGCCAGAUGACACAAAUUCUACCAAAUUCAAAUUCUUCAAAAUGUUCUAUGGAAUGCAGAUAGACAAAAAUUUGGGUGAUCAGUAAAACCCCACAAAUGCAAAUUUAUAUAUCAAAGUGUUCAGAUUAUUUCUAUGAAUUGCGAGCAUAAAGAUUAUUUGGGUAAUCAGUGAAACCCCAAAAAUGCAAAUUUAUAUACUAAAGUGUUCAGAUUAUUUCUAUGAAUUGCGAACAUAAAGAUUAUUUGGGUAAUUAGUGAAACCCCACAAAUGAAAAAAUAAACUUACAUAAUUUUUCUGUUUUCCUUAUUAUGUAAUUAUAGUUGUGUCAAAAACCUAACCUCUAUUAUGAGAAUGGACUCUAGGAUACAUACUGCAAGAGAGAGAAAAAACUAUUUCUUAGAAUGGAGCCACAGAACAUGAAAACAACUUAGAUGUUUUCCUGCAAAUAGGAUACAUGACUACUGACAGAGCAUAAGGAACUCAUAUCUCACAUGAUGAACCUGAAAGCCAAAACUCAUUAGAAUCAUCAAUUACGCAGAGUCAAUUUGAAAUUAAUGAGACCAAAGUAGAAGUUUAAUUAGAUGUUGUCGUAAAUAGUACUAUCAUCAUGUAAAUUAAAUUAUCUUAUACAAUCCUAUUGGCAUGGAGGCGUAGGCUCAUUCACAUCGUCACUCUAAGGAACAACAAAUCAGAUGUAAGAAGAAAAAUAAUGAUACCCAAUUAUAAUAGAAUGGAAAACUGUGAUGUCAAAAGAAAUUCCUGAGAUGCAAAAAUAUUGCCAAUUGAACACUAGUAAUCACAUUGAGAUAUUGUGAGAUGGCUACCAGUUUAAACAAAUUGGACAUCCACCUUGUAAAAAGACGAAUCAUCAUCUGCUCGAAAAGAACUGACCAGUCAAUGAUAAAAUGAAGGAACCCACAUGCAACUUAAAUAAAAAAUCAACAUAUGCUCAAGAUGAGCAACCUGGGGCUGACCAAAAAUUUUAUUGGCAUCUAAGCCUUCCAGGAAGCCCUUGAGCAAAGCCUACAACCGAGGAGCCAAAGAAGUGAUGAAGUUGCUGUACAUCGGGCUAAGCUGCAGAAACUAUAGUGCAUCACAGAGAUGUCAACUAACUUAUAAUAGCUGAUCAGAGUGCAUUGAAAAGAAACCUAAUAGAUAUUCACAGUGCACCUAUAAUAUUUCUAAUGAUAGUAUAAAAAUAAGGAAUUGACAGUGACAUUAUCACUGUAAAUUCAACUAAUUGUCACUGUCAACAAAUGGAAAUGUAAAAAAUAGCAUAUUUAAUAUAUUAUGGAAAGGGAUAUGUUUUGGGUUUCUAACUAAAAAGGCAUUGGAAGAAACAAUCAAACAAAACAAGGAUAGAAUAGAGUGACCAAAUUAUUUACUAAGAAUGAACAUUGAAUUAGUACGCACCGUGGUAAACCCUAACAAGUGGAGAUCCCAAAAAAAUCCUGACAUCAAAGGAAAUUGCUAUGAUAGGUAAAACUAAAAGAAUAGACUAAUAGACUUAGAGAAAUUAUGACAUUUUCAAAAGCCAAUCGAUGAAUCCAUAGCUAUUCAACAUGGAAAACUAAUAGACUGAAUCACACCUAAUGAAAAAUAACGACUAAAUGAAACUAGAGAUCGAACGAGAUCAGAUUCAGAAAAUUGGAAAGAACAUUGGAUUCGCCUAUCCUGAGCAUGUCGCCUCUAAGAAUAAAAAAGAGAAAGGUAAAAAAAACUUCAGGCCUCAUCGACCACUUAGAAUAAAAGUCGUGAUUCCCAAAAAUCAAAUACAUUAGAGGCAGUCAAGUGGGGCCACCAGACAGUAAACACCAAGGGCACCGCGGUUGGCCAAUGCUAUGAACCUAGUGGAGAAUAAUUUCUAGAAUAAAUUAGAGCAGGCCAGAUCGACUAAGGGACACAAAGAAAGUAUCUUAAUCCUAGCCAUGUGGAUAUCUGCAUACAUGAACACAAAUUACAUGUGCUAAUAAAUAGAACGCAUAUGGAGCCAAUCAAACUAAAGUAGCAAAUUAACAAGGAGAUAUUAGAGGAAUCGUAGAAUUGCGGCCUUCUUAAUUUGCUAUGCUGCAGUCACUUGUUGGUAGGACCCAUGAAUAGCAAAAGACAAAACCAGAUAGAAGACGAACGUAUGGAUCGGAUCAGAAGGAAAGCAAGUCGAAUGGUCCACAAAUCGAGUGACAAAUUCCUCAUUAUCCCAAAUUUCCCCAAGUGCAAAUGCAAAAUACUCAAAUUACAUAGAUUUCUUUUAUAUGGAAUGCAUAUUAACAAAUUAUUUUGGGGAGUCACGGAAACCCCAAAUACAACUUUCUCAAAUGUCCCAAAUUUCCCCAAGUACAAAUGCAAAAUACUCAAAUACCUCAGAUUUUCUUUUCUAUGGCAUGCAUAUUAACAAAUUAAUUUGGAAAGUCACGGAAUCCCCAAAUACAAAUUUUUCAAAUGUCACAAAUUUCCCCAAUGACAAAUGCAUAAUACACAAAUAACUCAGAUUUCUUUUCUAUGGUAUGCAGAUUAAAAAAAUUAAUUUUGGGAGUCACGGAAACCCCCAUAUACAUAUUCCUCAAAUGUCACAAAUUUCCCCAAUGCACAAAUAACUCAUAUUUCUUUUCUAUGGAAUGCAGAUUAACAAAUUAUUUGGGGAGUCACUGAAACCCCAAAUAUAGAUUUCUCAAAUGUACAAAUUUCCCUAAUGACAACUGCAAAUGUCAAAAAAGGGCUACUCCCUUUCAUUGAGAAGUGUGAAAUUAGAAAAUAAGACAAGCCAGUGGGACAAGGACCCAGUAUGAUUUGGAUACAGGUUAAGUGCAAAAAGUCCAUUGAUAAAUAACUUACACACAAAUUACACUAUAUAAUGCACUCUAAAAUUAAAAUGAAUGACCUAUAACUAAACUGACUUACUGUUAAAGUGGCAAAGCUAGAAAAAGAACUCAGCUUUUCACAUAAUCUGAUACUAAUGGUAUUAAGCUCAUAUUUAGCGCAAAAUGGUAGAGCUUCUUAUCAGAUAAAUACACAAAUGGAAUUCUGAGCUUCUAUAUAUAGGUAACAUAUAAGGCAAUUACACACAAAUGAAUGUUGAUUUACAAGGAAUAGAAAUUUAAUAUGAAUGACUGGCACAACAUUGUAGAAAGAAAAGAAAGUCUAAUUAGAUAGCAAAUAGAUGCCACAGAAGCAAUGAAGAAAAAGUACCAUCUCUACUUCAAAUGGUUGCCUUCUGCAGGAAACCCUUUCUUGAAGAUUGCAGAUUCGAUCUGCAUUGGAAGGGAUUUGUUAACAAAUCGAACACAACACAAUACUGUGUGCACAGAGUUUUUUGUAAAGAACUGAGGUGUUGCUCAUAUCGGAAUACUUAGGAUAGGAUGGACAUUGUAAAUAUAAUGCUGAGAUGCUGAACCAAACUACACUGAAGGUGAGGGAACAAAAGCAGUUUAGCCAAAAAAAAGAUAUUGAACAGCUGCAUCAAUUCAGCUAAAGAAAAAGCUAAAAGUAUUUAACUUAACCAAAUUUCUUAUGUACUAUAAGAAAGAUUAGGUUCAAGUGUAGGAAUAAAGCAUAGGUGUCAAACACUAAUAGACAUAGUCAAACAAAUUAAAGAUCAUAAAAGAAUUAUUUCACUAUUUAAUUCUAAUGAAAAAGAAAUUAAAUAAUUGAAACUACAAACUUGACAAAAAUUCAGAGAUGCUAAAAAACAAAAUGAGCAUUGAAAAAAAUCAAGUGAAUCAAAAUCCUUUCGUAUACACUAGAAUCCAUAAGCAACACCACCUCUGUGAUAGGCUAAAACAUUCAAAUAUGCUCGGAAUCUUCAACAAAAUCAUAAACAAAGGCUCCAACAAUCAACCAAAAAACUAUAUGUAAUAAUUCCAUUUUCUACUGACAACAAAAACACUCAGGUGUCCUUUAUCUUUUCGCUAAAAUUAUCGUAAUAUAGAAUAUUUACUAACUUUACACUAAACAUAAAAAUGAGAAUGAGAAUAAAUAAUCCACUACCUAAUUACAAAGUGUAGGUGGUGUAUCACUUAGCACAAGCACACCAGUCAAUAAGAUAUUUUAACAAUUAAUACUAAGAUAUGGGCAUCCUCGUAUUCCUAGCUAUAUGAUUUAGUUUCAGAUAGGGCUGAUAAUUUAUAAAUUAAUUCUUAAAGCUAAGUAAACUCAAAACAUAAAGAAACAAGCUAUCAUGUUUCUAUCACUUAAAUUAUCAUACAAACUAGUAGGUCAUAUUAGUUAGUGUGAACAAACCACUACAGAAAAAUGAAGAAAAUAACCCUAAUGCAUGCAACAUUGAGUUCAUCAUACACCUUUUUGGUCUUGGUAGAGAAGUAUCAAAGCUGUUGGAAAUGAUGUUGAAGCUAGCAGCCCUACCACCUCUCCAGUCCUUGCUAAGGGCUUGUAAACAAUCUUCUGGGUGGCUGACAGAGAAGUUUCAAAGUUGUUAUUUUACAAACUAAAGAAUCUUCCUAAUAAUCCUAACACAAAAGAUUGCUUAACAACCAGACAAAACUUGCUAGUGAUGGAAUGAACAUUAGUCAUCAAAUCCUAAAUAAUAUAAAAGUUGUCAUGAAUGUUUCAGUUUAUGAUAUUAGACGUCAUUGAUAUCUAAAAAAGAAGAGAAAAAAUAACUAAACAAGCUCAAAAUAAGAGAUAACACAUCUUAGUGAGGAGAGAAAGGCAAUCUCAUGCAAGCAACAGAUUAUAGAAAUGUGCACACCAUCAGUCCAUCACAAUUUCUGUUAGUCGCUAACAAACAUGAUGUGUACAUCAUCACAAACCAACAGGUGCAUAAUACAAUGAUAGAGUCACUAACGAACAACAUGUCUAAACCAUUAUAAUUUCUGUUGCCGAUGUCCCUCCUGAUGAGAUCAAAAUGCUUCUCAUACGGAUGUUUUCAAAGAAAAUACAUAUACAGACAAGGAAAUCAUAUGAAAUGCUAGCAAAACUUGACAUUACCCAAACUAUUUCAAAUAUUGUAACAGUUACACCUUGUUUACAUGCAAAUGACAGCACAAUCACCAUUGGAACUUUAGUACCUAUGAACUGUAACCAUCAUGGUUGUUUCUAUUAGUCACUAACUAACAUGCAGAUGUCCCUCCUAAUGAGAUCAAAAUGCCUCUCAGACAAAUAUGGUCGAAGAAAAUACAUCAAUAGACAAAGAAAUCAUACAAAAUGCUUGCAAAAAGUGAUAUUACCCAAACUAUUUCAAAUAUUGCAAUAGUUACACCUUGUUUACAUGAUGAUAGUACAAUCACUACUAGAACUUUAGUAGCUAUGAAUUGUAACCAUCACAAUUUCUGUUAGUCACUAACCAACAUGCGGAUGCCCAUCCUAAUGAGAUCAGAGUGCCUCUCAGACGAAUGUGGUCGAAGAAAAUAGACAUAGAAAUCGUAUAAUGUGCAAGCGGGAGGAACCGAACAAACUAGCUGAACAAGCUAAACUGCAGAGCGAAACUCGAUAGGAAUUCAAAUUAGGACACGGAUUACAUGCGACCUAAUUCAGAAAACAUCAUAGGAAGCUAAAAAUUGAUUCUAACCGAGAUCCACAGCAAUCAAAUCGGAGUGGGCGAAAUUAACCCUGGUAAAUCAGAGAACUCGAACCAAUUAGGAAUCAAUCACAAGCAAACACGAGAUUCAUGAGUGUGGAACACAGAAAUUGACGGCAAAACUAAUCAGAACAGAUGAACCCUAGAGCUGCUUCUCCUCGGCAGCACGAGAGUCAGGUAGCUGCUCUCUUCCUCCUCCGCCCCGUCCCUCCUCCAGCUCCCGUGGCCGGCAAGGCAGCUCCGUCGUGCGCAGAGGCUCAUCUCAACGGCUGCGGCGGCGGGGGCGCGAGGCGAGGCGGACGUGCUGCCAUGGCCGGGGGGUGAGGUGGAGGCGGUGGUGCCGGGAGGCUCGAGGAGCCGUGAGAUGAGCAGUUGGGGAGAAGCCAGCUCGACAUCGGCGCGAGCUCACCUUCCAAUGUGAUGUGGGCAGGGGCUUCGCCACUGACGACGGCAGGGUGGGGAUGGGGGCGUUGGACCUAGGGGCAGGGAAAGAAAUGGAGUGGCAUUGGAAAUCCCGACCAGAAAUAUCGUGGCCUCCAAAAAUUGCAAAACGAUGUAGUCUAAUAAAUGGACCCCACAAGUCACGAUAAGAUAGAGAUAAAAGAAGAAAGGACCAAACGGAGGGAGCAUACAAAACAUAGCAGAUCGAACGGUCACCAAAUCAAGUGAAGAAAGGCUAGAUUUCACUUAGGUGAGAUAUAGCUUUUCCUUUAUUUUAGCACGAAGAAGAAGGUCCGUAACUUAAAGUACUACCUGGAGAUCUUCAAAUCAAUUUUCUGACCAUAUCUUCAAUAGGCAAUGUAUGCAUACACCUUUCAGACUUUAGGCGCAGAGACAGACUCGAGGUUGCCAUGUAACCCCGGAACCAUGGCAUCAUCAACAUUAUCACUUGAGUGAGUGCAGUAUCAAUGUAUCAACGUCUGCGCCAGCUUGGGCCCCAGACAAAAUACCAGCGGGAUCUUUGCGGCGCCACCUGCUCGUGGUUGAAUGCGUUCGUUAGACCAACGUUCUGCUGGAUCGCGCGGGGCGCGCCGUACCCCUGCAGAGCGCUUACAUUACAUACAGUACACGUCUACAGUCUACGCCAGUGCAUUUAUACUGCCCCACUGCAGCCUCUGUUGCUCCUCGGUUAUUUAAUUUCCAGGUGACUCAUAAACAGAUUAACUGUUGUCGUCGCAGACCGCAGCACGACGUGGAGAGUCGGUUCCCUGCUCCAUUCCAUUCUGUGUGCAUUUCCUUCGAUGCAUAAGGAUGACGUCCCAAUACUGGAUUUAUUUACCGAACGAGAAGAGGAUAAAUGUACAGGCGAUGGUGAUGCUCUCUUGUCCGUGUUGCAUGCAUAAAGGACACGCUAGAUUACUAGGCCGUAGACAGCAUCUACUAGCUACCCCCGUAGCCGCCGUGAUUGCUCGCAAGAACGCAGAAUGGCCCAGUCUUUGCUACAUGAUACUACUCCUACGUAUCCAAGAACAAUGAUUGCGUCCAUGACGUGCCACCAGGACAGGAACUUGUGCCUUUUGACCGGCACAAGCACUGAAGCAUGCACAAGCUACCGAUCGCCCAGCGCAAGGUUGCCAAACACAUGCAACUCCCACGGAACAGGGGAAAAGCUGAAAAGGAGCCUGAUCAAACAGAGAGAGAGAGGGCUCAGGGCUGGCGGGCCGAGCAUGUAAACAAACGGAAGAUUCCACGGCGAGGUCUUUCUAAUCCCCGCUCGUGACUCCACGCGCGACGCGCCCCGUAAACCUCCAUGUGCUUGGCCGCGAGCACGGCGGGGCACAGAGCGGCACAGCGAGCCGCCGUUGCGCUGCGCCCCCGCGUGGCCACGUCUCCCCGAGCGCGGAGGAGAAAGACACCCCAGCGGGCCGGCCGGCCGGCCGGGGAAGCAGUGCGCGCGCGGGCGGGACAAGAGCUCGCGUCCAUGGCUUGGGAUUGAGAAGGGGCACGCAGCCGGAGCCCACAGCGCUGGCACUCACCAGUCACCACCGGCCAUGAUCGGUGGAUGGAUCGCUUUUUGUGCGGGGGCUGAUCGAGAGCAGUGAGCAGGUCGCUUCCCUGCACGUUCAGGCCCGAUCAUUGCAGCCGCGAUUGCAGAUGCGCUAGAACCGCAGAGGCGACGCUGAACUUUCCUCCCGGCUACUUUUAACCCCAAUCAUUACUCACUGAUUGGGUGCUCCGCCGCUGGAUUUAGAAUCUUAUCGGCUCCAUUAUAGACAGGAAUUCAAAGGUCGCUCGGUGCAUGAAUACGUGCUUAUCGUAGGGGGGGAUCAAAUCACGCAGAUCACACCAUUUAUAGGCGCCAUGCACCGCGAGGGCGAUCGAUGGCAGAGGAGACGAAUUCAUGUCGUGUAGGUCGUAGCAUCCGCGACACGGACUAGAUCGCUGCUCUCAAAUCAAAUCAAACUAUCAAAGAGGGAAACAAUGCGAGGACGUCCGGCCGGGGCCGCGCUAAUCGGCAGGCAGUACCGCUCAUCAUACACGGAUGGGCACAUGCCAUUGCCUCGUUCCCAGGAAUCCUGUCCGAGAGGGUAGCGUCCAAGCCGAGAAUUAAUGGCAAGGCCCCCCGGCCAGCGCUCAUGCAGUCAUGCAGAGCAGAGCGCACGAUGAGGCGGGCAGCUGCAAGCUACAGUGACGAGGAGACGGCGCCGGGCGUACGUGCUGCAUGCAUAGGGUGGUUGCGCCCGGAGCAGAGCAGCGAUCAGAAGCUCAUCAUGGCGCGCUGCCGGCUACUGGAUGGCCGGCGGCCGGUUGGUGGAUUGCCGUUGCAUUGCAGCAGCCAGCGAGCGAGCCCGGGCUGCAAAUUGAAUUCUCCCUGUCCGGCUAUCGGCGCGUAGACCGGUGACGCAAUUGGUGCGUGAUGCCAUGUUAGGGUGGAUAUCCAUGCAUCUUUUGUACUCUGGUGCUGAUCGAGACGUGCUCGGACCUAGCACUACUCUACAUGUCUCUUUCAGCCGUGUGUACGUAUCGAUAUAGUCCAGAUGACAGGCAGUGGUCCGCGUCUUACACGGUUCAUCAGGCCGUCGGCGAUGCAGAUGGGAUCAUCACAGAAAUCCAUAUAUGACUGCAUGAUCUGAAGAGCUCCCUAUUGUCUGGUAUCCAACGGUCGAAAAAAAAAACAUUUUUAUAGUCCAUGAAGAGUUGCCAAAAUUAUAGCGUGGGUUUUUGUACUGAUCAACGGGUAAAUUUUGUUACCACUUAAGUUAUAAUCGAUGGUACUACCUCAUCAACGACCUUAGCUGCUGGUGAGGAUCAGUCAUGUUUAUGUGCGUAUCGUCAUGAUCAUUUUGCUGCUUUGUAUGCACGGCCCAGAUCGAGUGAAGCGUCCAGCGACAAGAAACAAGAGUGGAUUAGUAGCUAGUAGCACCUAGACACCUGUUUCUCGAUCGCCAGCUUCCGAUUUGGAAGAGGAGCAGCAGCGUUGAUGUGAGUGUCCAUCAACCAGAGAAACCUAACAACGAAACUUUGAUGUGAGUGACACCGAACACAUAUAUGUAUAGCAAAGUGCAUGGAUGCCUAGCAUUGGGUGUGUGGUGCAUGGUUGGAGCUAGCCGUUGUGACCUCGUUCCACUUUUCUCGGCGGAACGCGAUCCCCGAAAAGCAAACGGCAUCCCGAAAACCACACGAACUAGCGGUCACGAAAUGUGCUAGCUUGUCGUGAGCCUAGGCACCAUCCUCUUGGACGGCUAGGGACGAGUAGUUUAUAAUCGUAGCGGUGGGGUUCUUAAAUCUUUGUAGUAAUCACAUCCCCAAUCUAACACAGCAGUACUACUACAUGAAAAAAAAGCGACUAAACCAGGACAAAAACAAAGGGAAUGCCAUUUGGUCAAAGCUAUGCGUUAUGGAAUAAAGCUACGCGCUAUGGAAUACUAAUAUCAUGUGCAUACAUAAAAAAAAAGGUCAAAAGUCGUUAGUACUCGGUACAAACCUGCAUAUUUGAGCUCAUCCAAUUUAGAAUUCUGUAACAUGGUGCAUCGAUUGUUUCAAAAAAAAAAUAUAUGGUGCAUCGACAUAAUGUACUUAUACGAGUUGAACAGUAGAAUUAUUACCACCUUUAGCUAGGUUGGUACUGCUAAGAUCUCAAACCCAAACUAGUUAAAAUACCGGCCUUUCGCAAGUAGCUCGCCCUCUCACCUUGUGCCUUUGUGGUACAGCGGAAGAUGGAGGCCUGGAGGGCAUGGACCAAGAAGAAGUAAGUCAAAAAGGUCAAAACAAGCAUGUAGUACAAAAGCAGUAACAAAAGGUGUGGAUGGACCAAAGCGUAAAUAAAAGCUUAUAUAAAACAAAAAAGAAGCGCACGCGUUUGUGUCCUAGCUAGUGUUCCCAUGAAAUGUCACCGUAGUUGGUGCCUUGGUGGCAUGCGCCACCACGCCACCACACGAAGCGCUUUACUUACCGGCCGGAUUUACGUAACUUGCCAGGGCCGGCAGGAUUAUUCUCGCAGAAAAUUAAUAUUGUUCUAGAAACCAAGAACUCCCACGCCAACAGGCGGCUCUGCCACGUGCGUGCGUGCGUGAUGUUACCGAGUAGCGACCACCCGUACGUGCGCGCGCAUGAAUACCGGACGGCACCGUCCCGUGCCCUUGACCAAACUACAGUUGUAGUAAACGGUGUGGCACGGAUCAUUGCUACCGGACGACGCGUCGGCAUGCUAGGGAACGGUCCAUCCCUAAAGCCAAAAACAUCCUGAUUUCACUCGCGGAGUCGCGGCUGCACGUACACACCACACGAGCGCGCAAGACGCCCAAGCAAACACGGGCGCGUACGACGACCCCGCUACACGGCUGCGGCGAGCGGCGUGCCCCCGUCGCCGCGCGCUCAGCUGCCGAGGAGCUAGCGCCACCGGACGCGGCCGCCCCGGCGGCCGGGUACGGUAGGCGCACGCACGCACGCAGCCUCCCUCCCGUGGCGUCCGUCAAGACGGAAGACUUUUAAACCCCUCGCUCGCGGCGCCACCGACCCACCGUACGUAACGUAACGUACGUCGCGCAUCUCCACGCCGCUUGGCACGUCCCGCUUGGCCCCGUCUCGCCCUUCGGAUCCUUCCGCUUUGCGGUGCCCUCCCUGUGCGGCUAGCCUCCUGGCCCAGAGGAUUAAUUAGCGCAGACGACGGACGGCUCGCCUCUCUCCACCCCAUCGGCUUCUUCUUCCACGGCGAGUCGGCGACUGCCAUUGGAACGCCGCUAGCUUUAUUAAUCGCCUUUUGGGGGGCGCCCCCGGCCCACACGCGCAUACUAGAGUAGAAACGGAGUCAAAACCCCCGGCUUCCACCCCUAUAUAUACGCUCUCCGCCCGCUGUCUCUCUCGUCCCCCGGCGUGCUCGUUCUCCUCCUCGGUCACUCGGUCACCUCCCACUUCUCCCCUCUCCACGUACCAACGAGACACGGGGAGCUGACGGGCGGAUGGGAGGUGCUGCGUCGCCCCCGACGCGGAGGCCGGGCGAGGCCGCGGAGGUGACGGAGCUGGAGCUGCGCAUCCAGCUACUCGGCGGCGGCGGCGGGGGCGGGGGCGGCGGCGUGUGCUACAACAUCAACGACAACGCCGACCUGCUGGCCGAGAUCCUGGGGCGCCUGGACGGGCGCUCGCUGGCCGCGGCCGCCUGCGUCUGCCGCCUCUGGGCCGCCGUGGCGCGCCGCGACGCCGUCUGGGAGGCGCUCUGCCUCCGCCACGUCGGCCCGGCGCCGCCGGCCACGGCAGCGGCUGCCGGCCCCGCCACGCGCGCCGUCGUCGCCGCGCUCGGCGGGUACCGCCGCCUGUACCGGCUCUGCCUGGGGCCCGCGCUCGACCGUCUCGGGCGCGCGGGGGCGCUGGCGCAGGCCCAGGCGGCGCGGGCGCACCACCUGUCGCUCUCCCUCUCGCUCUCGCUCUUCUCCAUCGACUGCUACGAGCGCCUCGGCGUCGGCGUCGGCGGCGGCGGCGGGGGCGCCGGCGCGGCCGCCGGGAGGCAGCAGCAGCAGCCGUCGUCCCUGCUGUUCCUCUGCAAGCCCGUCGACGUGUCGUGAUGGCAUUCAUCAGCGGCCCGCGGCCUGGCACGCACUGGCACCGCUGUCCCUCGCCCCGCCACGCUGCCGCUCGCCUAAUCCAUCGUCCCGGCCGUCCGACCGCCCCAUGUCGCGUCGCGUCCUUGGCCUACGCUGCCGCCCAGCCUUGUGCUGCUCGUCUGAGUGUGCGACGCCGACGACGGACGCCGCCGCGCGCUUGACUUAAAUUAUUAAUUGGUUUGAUUAUUAUUAGUAGCACGGAUGAACGGACAAUAAGCAAGCAAGAGCUGUUCAAUCAAUUCAAGCUGUACCUGAGACGCAUAUUAAAUUCCGCCACGGGAAUAAUGAUCCUUUGCUUUGCGUUUGCGUUUGCGUUUGCUGAUGGUUUCGUUCCGUUGCCGGGUGUACGCCUGGUGCUUGUCCGCGCCCGCUUGGCGACUUGCUAUUUCGAUGCACGCGCCUUGUACCGCUUCCUCGUGUUGCUGUUGCUUCGCCCGGAUGCCCCCGCGUUGCGUGCGCGCUCGCCAUCGCGCGUGCGCUACCGAGCAACCAGGAGCUACCUCACCUACUAGCUAAUCACCUCAUCAGCUAGCGCCAUUGCUUUCGUUCCAUGGCUGUCGUCGGCGCCUGCCUGCCUGCCCUGUGGGAACGUCGAUGGAUGGGGAACGGGUCGCACGCAUGAUCCAGCCGUGACGCCGAGCGCUCGUCGGCUGACGGCACCCGAUCGUUGCCGGGGUGGCGGCCCGAGCCGGAGCGCCUUUUCGCCGAAAAGGUGAGCUGCCGCUUCUGUUCUGCUGGAUACGCUCGGCACCACGGCGCCCCCGACCACCGGACGUCAACUGCCAGGGGACCGAGCGGCGGAAAUGGAACGCGGGACCACGCCGCUGCCUUCGUUGCCUCCGUAGUGCACUUGGGAUGGAACUACGAAAGCCAUCGGUCGUUAAACCCUCGCCGAAAACGUAUCAAUCGCAAAAUCCGCCCCGCUCCUUUGUUUGGAUGCUAGACUAAAGUUUAGUCCCAUCAUAUGAGAUGUUUGAUCACUAAUUAGAAGUAGUAAACAUAAGUUAAUGAUAAAACUAAUUGUAUAAAUGAGAACUAAUUCGCGAGAUGAAUUUAUUAAGCCUAAUUAGUUCAUGAUUAGCACAUGUGAUGCUGCAGUAGACAUGUGCUAAUUAUGAAUUAAUUAGGCUUAAUAGAUUUGUCUCGUGAAUUAACCUUAUUUAUACAAUUAGUUUUUAUAAUUAGAUUAUAUUUAAUACUCUAAUUAGUCGUGAAAACCUAAUGUACGACGACCCAGGCACCCCGGGAAAUUUGCCGAGGUAUUCCAAUUCAGGACACUGAGCUUGACGACGUCUGCUCACGAGCUCCGAGGCCGCUGGAAAUUUUUCGGCAGGCGAGCGCAGCGCAGGCCCGAGGGGGCGCAGAUCUGCUGGGUCGGUUCCUGCUGCGCUACACACGCGUCAUUUUAGGCUUUUCCUCUGCCGAGCCAGAGGCCUGCGACCUACACUACGCACCACUCAUGCAUGGACGCAGUCAAAAGUAAAAACCCCACGAUGCAAAACGUUCUCCGUCCUCCUACUGGCUGGUGGGCCUGUGAGAGCGAGACUAGUCUGUAGUCAGGCUUAGCCGCUGAGCCAGUGAGACACCACGUCGUGGUGCUUUCUAUGCACACUGUGUAGCCUCUGCACCCUGCCGUCUACUACUUGCACGUACAGAUACAGCUAGCUCCCGUGUUGGCCACAUCACGAGCCAGCCCCAAAGGUAUGUGACGGCUCCCCGGUGACCGGCCCGUCCGCCUCGCGUCUCGACGUGCGACCGAAUCGAAAGCGUGCCGGGGCGCAUUCCGGUUCGGGAAACAAAAGGCUUUCUGGAAAGGCCGCUUCUUUCUCGGCCUCGUUUCGAAUGCUCAGUCGGGUCACUUGCGUGAAAGGGGCAGCUCGACCGAUCGUCCUGUCACGUCGGUCCAACAGCUACAGCUGCAGAAAGCAUUUGCCGCAUCGGAUGCUAGCGAGCCGGCGGUGGCGCCAUGCGUCGAGCGUGAUGUCUGGCAUGCUGCGCAUUCCAAAUUUCAUGCAUGAGAUGUUACUGCUACGGUGUGGUACCAUCUCGAAAACAUGUGAUCGGGUAUGAAUUCAAGCGUUAGGGGUGAACUAGUAUGGAUGAUGCUAAACUUAGGCUGCAUAUGUAAUUCAUAAAUCUUACUAUUACUUGGUACAUUUUGAAGUCUUAAGGUGAAGCCUCCUAGGCGAACACUCUAGAAAAAGGGAAAGGAAUAAAUAGUAGAAAUUCUCAAAAAAAUCAAAACAUCUGACCAUCAAUCAGUAUACUCAAAGCAUCGUAGUCAUUGAAUCUGUUAUGUUUUCUAAAAAAUUACCCACCUAUGCUAUUAUAAAAAUAGUCUAAAGUAACCCCCUAAAUCUAUAUCUGAAUUACCCACCUCAGCCAUUAUAUAAAAUUAACUAAAGCAACCCCUAACUUCAUCAAAAUUAUCCACCUAUGCCAUUAUAAACAAUAUUUAAAAUAACCCUCUAAAUUUGCAACUAAAUUGCCCACCACUAAUACUUAAAAAACUUAAAGUAAUCCCUUAAAAAUUUGCAUCAAUGUUACGUAUGCCAUUAUUAAAAAUAAUAUGAGGUAACCCUACAUUUGAAUCCAAAUCACCUUAAUUAAAAACAUACAGCAAUAUAUGAUUCUAAAUCGUCUAUUUCUUACACUAUUGGUAUAUGAUAUACUAAGGAAGAUAUAUACACAUGAUGUGUGUCAUUUAUAAAGAUAUAGAGGAAGUGAUGAGAAUAUAGAUUUCUAUGUUAAAAUUAUGGCUCACAAUUAGUGUCCAUUAAACAAAUUCAAGCGCAUACAUGCGAUGUAAAGUGAAAAGUUAAAGAUUAUAAAUGUGGAUGAAAAUAUUAUAGAGUAAUUACUAACUAAAAUCUGUCGCAAUCGGAUGAAGAUAAUAAGUAUAUAUCUAUAUAAGUAUUGUGUUCGAAUAUUUAACAAAUGAGAGGUAGCUCAAGGUAAUAGUUUUGUAGCAAUGUGGUCUCUUUUUUUUCAUUGGAGACUCCGCAUUAGUUCCCACGAGACACGCUAGAAAAAAAAGAUAAAUUCUAGAAAUUCUCACAAAAAUCAAAAACAUCAAUCAUGUAAACUAUAAUAAUCAUAGUCAUUGGUCUAUUAUAUUUCUAAAAAUUUACCGACCACUAUCAUUAUGAAAAUAUUCAAAAAUAAACUCCAAACUUAUAUCUAAAUUAUCGAGCUCGGCCAUUAUAAAAAAUAAUUUAAAAUAACCCCAUAAUUUUCAUCCAAUUUACUCGUACAUAUCAUUAUAUAAAACAUAACUUAAAAUCCCAUUGUAAUUUAUAUCUUAGUUACCCACGUUUGUCGUUAUUAAAAAUAAUCUAAAGUAAACACCUAAAUCUUAAUCUAAUUAUCUUCAUGUGCAUAAUACAAAAAUGUCCAAAAGUAAACUAAUAUAUUAUUCUAAAUUACCUAUUUAUGUCAUUGUGAAUAUAGAAAUACUAAGUUAAAGUAUAUACACAUGAUGAGUGUCACCAUUUACACCAUUUACACAUGUAUGUCAGGAAUUGAUGAAAAAUAUUGAUUUUCAUGCUAAAUAUAAUGUAUAGAUGUGCAAUACAAAAUGAAAAAAGUGUGAAUAUGAAUGAAAAAGUGCAUAGAAUAAUACAACUGGAUAAAGAUAAGUACAUAUCUAUGUGAGUCUCAUGUUGAAGUAUUGAAACAAUAAGAGUGUAGUAGGUAAACAAUUUUGAUUAUUAGUUAGUAGUUUAAUUUUUGAAUAUUUUUUAAAUACAACAGCUUUUACAAAAUUAGCCCGCGGAGAACGAGUUGCUGAACUAGUUGAACUAAUUAGCUUUAUACUAAACGUCAUAUAUUUAUAGACGGAGGUGGUACAUAACACUAAGUCGAUGCAAUCGAAUCAUCAUGUUAACUUGUGUUUCCGCCUUCGGUAGUCUGGUGGCAGGAACGGAGCUAAGGAUUCAUUAAAAAAUAAUCAAUUAAUAAUAUUUUUGUAAUGCGUGGACAAAUACUAUUCUGAACAGAUUUAAUGUCGAACAAAAUAUAUAUACAUAAGAGUAUAUAUGAAGUAUAAGAGGUAUAUGUGAGUGUCUGAGUAUGUACUGUGUGAUUCGAAAAAAACAAUAUUAAGUAUGAGGGCUUUGGUCCCAUCCACUCAUACGUGAUAUGUGAUAGCUCCUCAUUGUCGGAACUGCUCUCCCACGUCCUAACGUCUAACAUAGCAAAUGCAUAAGUAAUUAUGUUCUUAAAGAGUGUAUAGACAGAUCCAUCAACUAAUAUUUUUAAUACAUGAAUAAACAGUAGUGUAUAUACGACUAUAAUAUUGUAUAUGGAGCAUGAGGGGGGCGAUUGCCCUCCGCCCCUCCCCCUUGUCUAUCUACUAGCUCCGUCACAAUCCAGUAGCUACUCAUUGUCGGAUCGGAACCGCUUUACCCUCAUCCUUAAACUAAAACCCCCCAUGUCAACUGUAGAAUUCGAGGAUGGAGACAAUUGUGUUCAUUGUUCGCAUAGGAGCAGAGCUUGUGUAGGCGUAGAGGUUGCGACUGUUUGGAUUGGUCUACUUCAUAAAAGCUUGGUCGGCAAGAUAUAUAAUGACGAUGGUCCAAAGGACCAUACCAAUCUUGCCCUAAUGAUCAGUGGGCAAAACUGACGUGAGGUGUCAGUCCCCCUGUGUAUGCAACGCUCUAUAAAAAAGGGAAUAAUCCCUAUGGGACAAUGAUAAUGUCUAAACCUGUUCCGAUCCGUGUGGCUAUUCGGUCGAGCUGAGCGCCGAAGCAUCAAAAAGGACUGUGCACAAACUUUCUACAAGCCUUAGAAGAAACUCAUGAGCGUCUGUACAGAUGGGUUCAUCAUAAAACGAAAAUGAGUGUCUAAAUCCCAUUUCAUUAGUCGUGUGGAAGAAUGAACAGAUCGAAAGGUUCACCUCGAAUAAACGUACAUACACCCUCCAGUCCGACGGUACACCACGCCAAGAGCCCAAGACCACGGACACCCCAGUACCCCACAGCGCCGCGCGGGGGAAUCCUUGUGUAUCAGAGUGUCCUGAUCUCCUCGAACGAAGAAUCUAAGGCCGCCUCGUAAACGACAUGGAGGCUGCAGCUUCGCGGCGUUCACGAGACAGAGGCCAGAUCACCUGUCAUCGGCCGGCAGCAUGUCGCCAAAACCUAGCGCCCGGAUUGCCACGAGGGUUCACCACCACACCAAGACGUAUACUUCCACCGUGCAAAACGCACAUCUCGCAGCAGCAAACAACACAUCGGGGUAUGUCCUAGCCGCUCGCAUCGUAUCGACCGGCCCGGCCGCCGUGCUUGGCGGUAUGAUGACACACCACACGUGCACCAUACAUGGGCGCCGGGCGCCGCGCCGAGGCCGAGUUCACGGGGGCGCGCACGCAGGGAGAGGUGUCUUGGAUUGGAGCACGAAGCCGACGCGGCCUUGGCAGUACGGCUCCUGCAUGGGUUCGUCUCCGUCCUGGACAGAUCGACUGCCCGGCCGGCGCGGCCCGGUCAGGAGGACACAAGAGCCGCAGCUGGACUGGUAUAGGAGGGGUCACGGGGCUGGCUCCCGUGUGGGAAGGGGCCGCGCGCAACCUCCCAAGCCCUGAAGCACCCCCAUGUCUGCAUCCCGUGGAAAUGACAAGCUCCCAUGCCAGGGCUACACGACGCUGCCUCGGUAUGGUACGCCGGUGUACGUUGGCCCUGCACACCGGCCGGAUUCUCACGGUGACGCGUACACCGGCUGAAAAGGCGCGUGCAAUCGGGAGUGACUGGACACUCCCUCAGUGUAUACCUCUAUACAGAUCCAGAAACGAGAUAUGCAUACUGUUACUUGGACUGGUUGCGGGCUUGCGGCAGGGUUUUUGCAUGUGGUGUACCUGCCUUACAUUUUUGCAGGCUACAAGCUGCAAGCGGAGCAUACAAAGAUAUGUAGCACCUCCAACUCCAAGAGCAUAUUCUUCUGUGCUCCUGCUGUCCUGCAGUCGUGUUUGGCUAUCACACACAUCUUAUUUUCUAUUUUUUUCUUCGGAUACAGUGCACGUACUAGCAGUUGGUUGCAUGCAUACGAAGGUAUCGAUAUUGUAGCGAACGUGGAUUCACUAGUGUGUAAUUUUGGUGAUUUAGUGAUAACAUAGUAAUUGGUACUGAUGCCUUAUCUAACAUGUACCUUAAAGGUUUUCUAGGUCCCAAGAACGCAAACUAAACCAUGGCAAUGUCCAAAUCAUGGUAUUUAAGUAUUCAAGCUAUGGUAUUCUUGAUAUUCAAAUCAUGAUAUUAAAAUUUUCCAAGCUAUGGUAUUCAAAUGACCAAGCUACGGUAUCUAAGAUUAUUAUAUGGUAUUCAAGCAUCCAAAUGAUAGAGAAAAUUCAAGUGACAGCAUGUUUGGUGCUUGCAUUUGACGAGUUGAAGAGAAAAAGGAACCACCUGAUAAGCGUCGGAACAACCAUCAGACGAAUUGGUACAAUUAUAGGCAGUUAUAUAAAUUAAGACCACCGGAUGUUCCGAUGUCCUGUUUUCUAUAGCGCCGGAUGAAUUCUGAAGGGAAGAUUUGGAAGAUGAAGAAAACCCUAUUGCACCAGAUGAUCGGAUGGUAGGUCAAGAGGAGCGUCGGACGAAGCAUAUUUACUUUGGAAUCAUCCAAUGAGGUUUUUGGAGAAAACCUCUUGAGCACCGAAUGUUCCGACGGUGGCAACGGAUGAAUCGUCGGAUGAAUUCUUAAAGAAGCUGGGCGUGGAGGAGCCAACGGUUAGUUGCACCGGAUGUUCCGAUGCAUGCUAAAAUAGACCAUCAGAACAUCCGAUGGUAUAAUUUAACGAUGGUAUAAUUUAACUAGCCGUUGGAGCAACGACUCUUUGAUGUCUUGGGCUAUUUAUACCCCCUCCACUCGCCCAUUUGAAGUUGCUGGAGUAUGCAGAAAUCCAUUGGAGAUCAAGACUCAUCAAGAACACAUUCAAGCCACCAAAAGUGCUUAAGUGAUUUAUCAAAUGCUUAGCACAAGCUUAGAAAGAGUGAUUAGUGCUAGGAUAGGCCUAGAGAGAGAGAGAGUGCAUGGUGUGUGGAGCUUGUGAUUAGUUCUAGGAGUGAUCCAUAGUUGUACAAGGUGUGCCGCCGCCUUGGAGCCUUGGUGGCUCGCCGGCAAGUCUUCGACCCUUCGGCUUGGUGUGGAGCGGCGUAGACAACUGUGUGUGGGGGACGCGGAGACCCCCUUCCUUCUUGGAGAAACUCCUUAGUGGAAACAACAUCAAGGUGAUUGGGGAACUUGACACAAGCCUUAGUGAUCAAGCCUUUGUGGCAAGUCAAGGGGUGUCCCGGAAGAGACUUGGUGACCGAGAAGCAAUACCCUUGUGUGAGUGCUUCAACAACGUGGACUAGUGAUGGCUUAAUGAUUACGAUACCACAGGAUAAAUCAUCAUGUCAAGAGUUUGCUUCUCCUCAUCCUCACCUCUUACGUUUUCACAUUUCAUACUUGCAACUUGAUUGCCUUUACAUUCUAAGUAGUAUCUUGAUACGAUUGGUUCUAGGUUGCAAAACUUGUUUUGGGAUGAGAGUUUCACCCUAGAUCAACCAUAGAUGCACAUUUAGAUAGUAUGAUCUAGUAUAUAUUUUGAUGUAAAAGUAGUGGAAGUCAUAGGCAAGGUUCUAAGUUGCCUAAUUCACCUCUCCUCGUCUUUAGGCUUCGAGCACCAAUUUUUUUAUGGAUAUAUCCUGACUUUGUGAUACCUAAUCCUCUGUCAGUGUAACAGUGUUGCGGAGGAAGAGAGCAGUGUAACCCACAAAUCUCAACACGACAGAUACAUGCUGCCAGAGUUAUUUUUUGUUUUUAAACACUGCAGAGCUGACAGUCUGCUUCUGGUUCUGGAUGACGCAAGGCAGAAUGCAAGAAGAGGCUGAAAACGUGCAGCCAAUGGGCUGACUGUAGUGCAUUGAGUCCUGUCAGAGUAGGCCCAUGGCUAUGCUCCAUUUCCUCCUUUUCAAGAGUUGUUAUGCUCCGAUUUCAAAUCUGAAGUAGAUUUUUUUUGUUUUUGAGGGGAAAAUAUAUAUGUUUCUACAGUAAAAUUAGAACCAAUGCCAUCCGAGGCCCAUUCCUACAUACUGUGUGCAUUUGCUCUUUAGGCCCAUGCUAUGGUGAUGCUAGAAACGGAGAGGCCCAAUCCACGUUGAAGGCCCAUCACGUACAAGUUCUCUGAAUCGGCCUAAUCCAAUAGAAAGACCCAUCACGAACAAUUGUAGUGGGCCUCAAAGGAAGGGGAAAAAAGAGGAGGAACUGAGAACGAACCAUGUUGAUCACCCAUAAUAGGUUCUUUCAGACUUCAUGCAACAUCUGUGUCGCUCCCAUAAAAGAUAGAACACCUCAUGCUGACGAGUGAAGCCUCUAGGCAGCUCGCCAUUAUUGUAAUGGCAGUCCCCAGCCGUAAAUGAUGGCAGGUGCUAGUGCUACAUCAUCAGCAACAACAGCUACUGAAUAACCGAGAGAGUAAUUUCGUUAGCCCUGCCAUCCUGCAGCAGCUGCAGGCGGCGACAGUGAUCGUCGAUACAUCGCUUUCCCGCACGGUUUAUUGCCACACUACGUACACAAACACCUCGGAUCACUUCACAUCAUUUACAUACAUGGGCGAGCGUCCCAGAGACUUUUUAUGGCUACGCUGGCAGACGACAGGUAGCAUCAUCCCAACACCGAAAAAAGAAAACCUCAAACCGGAGGAGAAGACCGAAGGCCUUCCAUAGCGCUAUG